AGCCACAUGCUGUUUGCAUUCCAUUCCCUUAUCAAAGCCAUAUAAAGGCAAUGCUUAAAUUUGCAAAGCUCCUCAACCACCGAGGUUUUCAUAUAACCUUUGUUAACACAGAGUUCAAUCACAAGCGCUUUCUUAAAUCUCAAGGACCCAAUUCCCUUGUUGGCUUGCCUGAUUUUCAAUUCGAAGCCUUCCCGGAUAGCCUUCCGGAUUCAGAUGAAGAUGCCACACCAGAUGCCACCUUGCUUUGUGAAUCCAUCAGGAAAAAAAAAUUCUUGGCUCCCUUUCAUGCCCUCCUUGCAAAACUCAACAAUGAUGCCAUAUCAACAUCCCACAAUCCUCCUGUGACUUGCAUAGUUUCAGAUGGUUUCAUGUCCGCGUUCACAAUCACAGCUGCUGAAGAAAUCGGAGUCCCUAUAGCGCUGUUCUACACUAUAGCUGCCUGCAGCUUCAUGGGAUUUAAACAACUUCGCGCUGUGGUCGAAAAAGGACUUUUUCCACUCAAAGGUGAAUAACUACGAAUUAAAAGCAAUUGUUGUUUCUAAACAUGCAAAUGAAAUGUUUCUUCAAUUGAAUUUCAUUUGUCUAUUGCAGAUGAGAGCUGUUUCAAAAAUGGCUAUCUGGACACCGUAAUAGAUUGGAUCCCAGGAAUGAGAGAUAUCCGUUUAAGGGAUCUCCCGACCUUCGCGCGAAACACAAAUCUGGAUGACACCGGAUUUAACUUCAUCAUGGAAGAAACCGAAAGAGCUCAUGAAGCUUCAGCAGUUGUUCUUCAUACUUUUCAUGCCUUGGAGACAGAUGUUUUGGAAGCUCUCUCAUCUAUGCUUCCCCAUGUGUACACCGUUGGCCCUCUUCAAUUGCAUCUCAAUCAGAUACCAGAGCACCCUUUGAAAAUGGGAUACAGUCCAUGGAAAGAAGAAACUGAAUGCCUCGAGUGGCUAAACACCAAGGCACCAAACUCAGUUGUCUAUGUGAAUUUCGGCAGUGUAGCAGUCGUGACACCAGAACAGCUUGUGGAGUUUGGGUGGGGACUUGCAAAUAGCAAGCUUCCAUUCUUUUGGGUAAUUAGACCUGAUCUAGUUGUUGGAGAAUCAGCUAUUUUGCCGCCUGAGUUUGUGGCUGAAACUAAGGAAAGAAGUCUAAUAGCUGGGUGGUGCCCACAAGAGCAAGUCCUCAACCACCCCUCAGUUGGAGGAUUUUUAAUGCACAGCGGUUGGAAUUCAACAGUUGAGAGCCUUACUGCAGGAGUUCCUAUGCUCUGUUGGCCAUUCUUCGGGGACCAGCAAAUGGACUGUCGCUAUACUUGCAAUGAAUGGGGAAUUGGCAUGGAGAUUAGUGAUGAUGCGAAGAGGGAAGAGGUAGAGAAGCUUAUCAAAGAGUUAAUGGAGGGAGAGAAGGGUAAGAAGAUGAAAAAUAAGGUCAUGGAGUGGAAGAAACUUGCAGAAGAAGCUACUGGUCCACAUGGUUCUUCAUCCACAAACUUAGACAAUUUAGUGAAUCAACUGCUAUUGAGAAAAAGUUAAGAUGUUUCCAUAAGAAUAUUGAUGUUAUUAAUUAUCAUUUCCAUUGCCAUUGUCUCAAAUAAUCAACUAUCUGGCAAUAUAUAUGUACUACUGGUCUGUAACCAUGAUGCGUACUAUAUCUAGAAUUUUAUUCUAAUUAAGGUUUUACUACGCUUCAGGCCUUCAACUCUAAAGUCUUUAUCAUUUUUCAGGCAAUUGUGCACUAACCAUGAUGCAUUAUAUUAAUAAUAUUUUAAAUCAAUAGAUUAAAAAUAUAAAGCUAUACCUUUUUCCACAAAUACCCCCGAGCUUAACGGGUUAACGGGUAUUCGUGAAUUGACACGACACGACACGAUAGCUUAACGGGUGACUAACGGAUCAAUACGAUAUCAACAUGACACCAUAACCCAUGCCUGAAUACUGAAUUUUUCGUGCGAAUUCAUGUCGUAUUAAUGGAUCGUGCACAAUAUUGUCUCCUCUAAACUUAGAUACUUUAGUCGAUUUAAGAAAAAACUAGAUGUUAUCCAUAACCAUAUCUCUAUUAUCACUGUUGAUAUCUCUAUUAUUACUCCAUAUAGCGUCCUUAUUCGUGUAUGAUGUCAUACGGAGCCUAAUAACAUGUUUUCUUGUUUUGUUCUAAAAAAGUUUUUUGAAAGAAGUAGAGACCAGUAAAUGAAAUUAAAAAAAAUUAAACCUCCAAUAAAUAUGGCCAUGGAAACAUGGUCUAACGCUAAAUAUAAAAUAAAAUAAGGGCAACUAAACUUGCCAUGGCCACAGACAUAGUGGCUUAAUAGUAAGUAAAUAAAAUUAACUUUGGAUAAACUGUGGUGAGGGAGUUGGAAUAGUACACAUUGAAAAGUAUCUCAGUUUUGCUUUAUAAAUAAUCUGCAUUUGCAAGCACUGCAAUGCACACACAAAAUCUCAGAUGGAUUCCACAGAAGUAGCUACUAAGCCACAUGCUGUUUGCAUUCCAUUCCCUGCUCAAAGCCAUAUAAAGGCAAUGCUUAAAUUUGCAAAGCUCCUCCACCAUAGAGGUUUUCAUAUAACCUUUGUUAACACACAGUUCAAUCACAAGCGCUUUCUUAAAACUCUAGGAUCCAAUUCCCUCGAUGGCUUGCCUGAUUUUCAAUUUGAAGCCAUCCCGGAUAGCCUUCCAGAUUCAAAUGAAGACACCACACAAGAUGUCGUUAAAAAAAUAAAGUUAGACCAUUUUCAACAAAGAAAUUAUGUGGAAGUUUCUUUAAAACCUUGUAUAAUUAUGUUGGAGAUAUUGACCUGAUGAUAAAGCAUAAUCUCUCAUUAAUACUUGAAUGCUUAAUCUGAAAGAAAGAAAAGAAAAGAAACAAGAAAACACAGACAAGGUUAAAGAAAAGACAAAAUCCAAAAGCUUACUUUGUUUCCUCGUCUUUCCAAAUCCAAAUCCAAAUCCAAACGCCACUCAAAUCAGUUAGGAAGUUUCUGAUUGUUUAUUUCAUUUCAUACUAGAUACAAAGAUAACAACAGCUUGAGUAAAAAAGAACAAAAUUGAUAUUUUAAAUUAGAUGCUCCAUUUCAAACCAUAGACACUCCUCUAACGUGAGCUUGAUGAUUAGGGACAAAACCACAUGAAUGUUAUUUCACCAUAAUGUUCGUUUUAGUCAUUGUACACAACUCACAACACUUUCACACAAAAAAUUAUUAUUGUACCAACAUCACUUUUAAUAAAAAGUUGUCAAAAGACAAACUGCUUUCUUUCACAACUGAUUUCUCUCACAGCAAAUCUGACUGUAAUUAUUUUCACAUCACAACAAUGCCAAACUAGCUUCGUUUUAGAUCCUUAUUUCUAUUCCUACUUGGUUUAGGAUUCCUAUUUUAAUCUUAUUUCCUACCCACUAUAAAUAAGGCUUUUAGGAAGUCACAUUAUUAUUUGUGGCUAGAGAGUGUCUAUGAGUGUGGUUACGAACCAAAUUACAAGUGAGUGUGAGGAAUUGGUAACAAUUCACUAUAGAAAUACAAGAGAAAAAAUAAUUUCAAACACUCCGAAGUUUUCUUUCUACUAACUAGCCAGGUGAUGUUGAGGGAUUAAGCCUUCUUCAAUUAUACACCAAGCGAGAAGAACCAUUCACUACUACAAAAAAGCAAAAAGACGACGGUAAAUUACCGUCGUGUAUUCGGUUUUUCAAUGGUCGUGGAAUCCACCGUCAUCUUUUUCCUCAUAAACCACGACGCUAAAUCACCGUCGUUGUUAAAAUAUACAACGUCAUCAUCAAAUACAAAACGACGUCUUUGUACUGCAAAAAGAUCUAAAAAAGCAGUCGAGGAUGAGAAUAGACGACCAACUUUCUAAAAAAACCGUCGUUAAAAAGGAAAAAUAUGACACAUAUUAACAGAACAAGGCCGCAAGAUAGACAUACAACGACGAAAAUUAAAAUAAGACGCCGUUAAAUAUCAUUUUCACGACAAUAAAAAAUAUGACGUCUUUAAAUACAUUAGAAGACGACGUUAUUGAUACCUACUACGUCGCCUAUAUAAAAACAGCCGUCCUAAAAUAAAUUUUCCACUUCGAUUUUUCUAUAAAAGAUGACGUGGAAAUAUUUGUCAGUGUCAUUAUUUACGACGUAUGUAUUUAUAGAGUAGACGUUGAACAACGAAACAACGUCGGUUACAAAUAUAUGAGAGUCGUAUUACAAAAUUUAUACGUCCUAUUUUCAGAAACAAACAACGACGAUAAAUAUUAGACGUUGUUAAAUAAAACAACGUAGAAAACAAAUAAAAACAGACGUGUUUAGUCUGCUAAAGUUCUAAAAAAUAGUCGAGGAUGAGAAUAGACGACCAACUCAAACAAAUCACCGUCGUUAAAAAGGAAAAAUAUGACACAUAUUAAAAGAACAAGGCCGCAAGAUAGACAUACAACGACGACAACUAAAACACUACGCCGUUAAAUAUAAUUUUCACGACAAGAAAAAAUAUGACGUCUUUAAAUACAUGAGAAGACGACGUUAUUGAUAUCUACUACGUCUCUUAUUUACAAACAACCGUCGUGAAAUAAAUUUUCCACUUCGAUUUUUCUAAAAAAGAUGACGUGGAAAUAGUUGUCAGUGUCAUUAUUUACGACGUAUGUAUUUAUAUAGUUGACGUUGAAAUGCGAAACAACGUCGGUGGCAUUUAUUUACGACGUAUGUAUUUAUAUAGUUGACGUUGAAAUGCGAAACAACGUCAACUAUAUAGUCGACGUUGUAUUUAUAUGUAUUCAUUACUCACAACGCACUUAUUAAUAUAGACGACGUUGAACUUCUAAACAACGUCGGUUCUAAAUAAAUGAGAGCCGUAUUACAGAACAUAUAGACGGCGUUGAUUAUGAUGAGAGCCGUAUUACAAAUAACGUCGUUUAAUUGAUAUUAGACGGCGGUUAUAAUGAAUUACCGUCGGAAUUCAUUUCGUUCCUCUUCGUUUAUAAAAGAACUUGCGACGUGGAAAAUGUAUGAUGACGUCGUAUUUUUUAACGUUCAGAUUAUAUAUCUCGUUUUUUAGACGUCGGUAUUAUGGGAUUGGAGUCGUGUUAUUUUGAAUUACAUGGCGGUUCUUAAUCCUUCCCCGACGUGAUAUCCUGAAUAAUUGCUUCACAAUAGCGUCGUGGUUCUUCAUUGUUACGUUGCUUUAAGACGUCGGUAAAUAUGCUGAAUAACUGGUUCACAAUAACGUCGUGUUUUAUUUGAACAGACGUCGUUUUUUAUGCAGAAUAUAAUGAUGUAAUCUGGAACCAGUAUUUUUUGCACUGAUUGUUUUGUGGCCAAAACCUGUAUAAUGAAAGUGAAGAAAUCACAUUACAAUAUAUUACAAAAUUAAUGUCAUACACUGCCAAUUACAUAAGCAUCAUUCAAUCCAUAUAUCUUCACACCCAUCUCGAAUAUUUUGACCACCUAACUCACCCACCAGUUCAUCAAAUGUGUCAACAUUUGGCAUCCCUCUAGUAAAUGGCUCACACUCAAUUAUGACAUCACCUAAGACUUCAACACCAAUAACAUCAUUAUAUUCUCUAUUAGGCAUUGAUAACACUACCGACCAACCACGAUGCAUCGGGUCGUCAACAAAAAAUAUUUGUUUGACUUGAGAAGCCAAAACAAAUUGGUCAUUCCUAUGUCCAAUUUUACUCAAAUCUACAAGGGUAAAUCCAAGUUCGUCGACUACAAGACCAGAACUAUCUAUCCAAUCACACCUAAAGACUGGGAUUGUAAACUUUUGGUAGUCAAGGUCCCAAAUUUCUUGAAUGACACCAUAGAAACCCAUAUUUGAGAGAAUUGGGUUUUUAUCCUUGACACUAGCAACUUGCAUGGUAUGUGCAAGUAAAUAAACUCCACUAUUUUGAGUUGUCCGCACAUCAUCUUGUGCCUUGAUAUUGAAUUUAAUACCUUUAAUAAGAUAGCUCCUAUAUAAUGGCACUGCCAUGUUUGGACUAGCUGCUAGCCACCUUAAAUUUUCUGAUACGCCAUGAUUGUCUUCCUCAAGUUCACUUUGAACCUGCAAAUUAAUCAUAUCUUAAUUCAAUCUAACAUAGAAAUAAGAAGAAAAUUAAAAGAGAAAUAUGUUAUUCAACAACAUAUACCUUGAAGCGUAGCCAUUGAAUGAAAGUGCUAUUGUGCUUAUCCUGCAGCCACUUUGUUCUCUUUCUAAAUUUUGGAUAAGCAGUUUUGAUGUGGAUCAUAUGUUGCCUACAUGACACGAAAAAUUCAAGCAUUACGGUCCCAAAUAUAUAAGAUAAACAUAAGAAAUAAUUUAAAAUGGAAACUUAAAGAAUAAAACUCAUACGUACUCGAUAUAAGGUAGGACUUCCUCUGUAUUCUCCAAGACAUAUAGAUGUGCUUGAUUCAACAGGUCCUGAUCAACUACGCUCAUUGUGCAACCUGAUAAUGGCUUUGAAACUCCCAUCUUUUGGCUUGAAAGCAUUCCAACUGUACUAACAUCAGAUAAAUGCUGAGUACAAAACUCUACCGCUUCUUCAGCUAUAUACCGCUCAGCAAUGCAACCUUCGGGACGAGUACGAUUCUGAACAUAUCCCUUCAGCACUUUCAUAUAUCUUUCAAACGGAUACAUCCACCUAAAAUAUACUGGCCCACAUAGACGAACUUCUCUGACAAGAUGUACUACUAGAUGAACCAUGAUAUCAAAGAAUGAAGGGGGAAAGUACUUCUCAAGCAAACACAGAGUAACUACUACAUCUUCUUCCAACUUAUCUAGCUUGGAAACAUCAACAGUCUUUGCACAUAUAGCAUUGAAGAAGAAGCACAAACGAGUUAUUGCAUACCUUGCAGGCUUCUCCAAAACAGAAUGAAUUGCCACAGGGAGCAAUUGUUGCAUUAAGGUAUGACAAUCAUGUGAUUUAAGGCCAAGAAGUCUUGAAUCUUGUAAAGAUACAAGAUUUUUAAUAUUUGAAGAAUAACCUUCAGGGACCUUCAUACCAUAGAAAGAAUUGCAAACCUCUCUCUUCUCUGCUCUUGACAAAUUCCAAGGCCCAGGAGGCAAACGAGUACGUCUUUCUCCAUACUCGGGUUGCAAAUCAGUUUUGACCCCCAUGUUCAAUAAAUCUAAUCGAGCAGCAAUCCCAUCUUUAUUUUUUCCAGGGAUCUCCAGCAAUGUACCAAUGAUACUAUCGCAAACAUUCUUCUCAAUGUGCAUAACAUCUAGGGCAUGCCUCACAGGAAGGUAUUUCCAAUACUCGAGAUCAAAGAAUAUUGAUUUCUUCUUCCAACAAACUCUGUCACCAUUUUCAACCAUAUGCAGCACUUCUUCUCCGGUUAAUGGCUCGGGAGGUAUGCCAUAUUCAGGUUUCCCAUUAAAAGCUGCACGUUGCCUCCUAUAUGGAUGAUUGAUUGGUAACCAUUUUCUAUGCCCAAUGUAACAAAUUUUGUGGCCAUUUUUCAACCUGUGACUAGGUGUAUCAUCGCUGCAUAUUGGACAAGCUUUAUAUCCUUUAACAACACAACCAGAUAAGUUUUCAUAUGCGGGGAAAUCAUUAAUUGUCCACAUUAAUGCAGCUCUGAGUGUAAAGUAUUCUCCAUUAUGUGCAUCAUACACUCCUCUAAUCCCAUCCCACAAAGAUUUUAAAUCAUCAAUCAAAGGCUCCAAGUAGACGUCUAUAUCAUUUCCGGGUUGUUUAGGACCGGAAAUCAAUAAGGUUAACAUCAUGAACUUUCGUUUCAUGCACAGCCAUGGAGGGAGAUUAUAUGUAACUAAGAUAACCGGCCAACAACUAUAUCUGCUACUUAGAGAACUGUGUGGAUUGAAUCCAUCAGAUGAAAGAGCCAAUCUCAAGUUUCUCGGCUCAUUACCAAACUCAGGCCAUUUAUCAUCAAGAAGUUUCCAAGACGGGGAAUCCGCCGGAUGAGACAUCUGACCGUCAAUUGAUUUUCUAGCAGCAUGCCAAGUCAAACUCUUAGCUGUCUCAUGUGAUUGAAACAUCCUUUUAAACCUUGGAAUUGGAGGAAAAUACCACACCACCUUCGCUGGCACACCCUCUUUCAAGAUUGAAUCUUUGCCUUCCUUCCACCUUGAGAUACCACAAGUAGGACAAUUAGUUGAAUCCUCAUACUCCUUCCUAUACAAGAUGCAAUCAUUGGGGCAUGCGUGCAUUUUCUCAUAACUCAGCCCCAAUGCACACAAAGUCUUUUUAGCCUCAUACAUAGAGGUUGGUAUUGUAUUUCCUUCUGGAAGCAAAUCGCCUUGAAGUAUCAAUAAUUUUGUAAAACAGACAUCACUCAUCCCAUGUUUUUCCUUCAAAUUAUACAACUUCACUAAUGCCGAUAACUUCGUGUACUUUCUACAACCAGGGUACACUGGUUGAUCUCCAUCCCCAAUCACAUUGGCAAACUCAUACGGAUCGGAACCAAAAUCACCAAAAUCAUUGUCAUCCAUAUCAAUUUCUUCAGACACAAAACUGUACCUACUAUGGCCAUCAUCUUCUUCAACAUUUCUACUAGCAUUAGUAGUUGCUUCCCAAGGUUCUCCGUGAAAUGUCCAAUUCUUAUAGCUUUGGUCAAUUCCAUUAAAGUAUACGUGAUCCCUUAUAAUUCCAACCCCAAACAACUUCAAAUUAACACAUUUAACACAUGGACAACGGAUAUGUGUUGUAGUUAGAAGAUUUUCUACAGCAAAGUUCAAAAAUGCUUCCACCCCCAAACUCAUAUGCCUUCGAUCUUCUAUCCGAGUGCAUCCAUGACUUAUCUAUCUCCGACACUAUAACCUAUUAUCUAUAAUAAAGUGAAAAUACAGGCAAUGACCAUCACUAUAGCAGAUUAUACAAAGAUCUAAUAGCAAGUAAUACACAAAAGAGACGACGGGUUUUAAACAAAAACAGACGUAUUUGGCAUAUAUAGACGACGGAUUUUCAACAGACGUCGUCUAAUAUAAGUAAUACAAACGACGGUUUAUGAAAAAACCGUCGUGUAUAAGUAAUACAACGACGGUUUUUUCAUAAACCGUCGUGUAAUGAUCGUCGUAUGCCUAAAAAGGCGUCGUGUCUCAGUUUAUUUUCAAGAACCCAAAACCCAUUAAGAACACAACAUAUAUAUGAAACCAAGCAAGAAACCAACAUAUACAUGAAACCAAGCAUGAAAACAAUAAAUCCAUUCCCAAUUCAACAUAACAUAGGGUGAUUAAAAGAUCCGACAAAAUUAAAUCCAUUCCCAAUUCAACAUAACAGAUAAUGUAAUCCAUGAACCCAUUAAAGAGAAAAUCCAUGAACCCAUACCUAUAAGCACAUUAUUAACAGAUCACAAAGCAUAUACCUAAAACCCUUUAACAAAACAACCUAAUAUCAUUCAAUGAAUUUACAAGGGGAAGAUAGGGUUUGUACUUACAGGUUGGACGAGCUCACAGAUUCGACGGAGCCUGGAGAGUGCAACUUUUAAUUAGAGCAGAAGUGAGAGAGCGAAAUGUUAUGUUGCGCGAAAUCUGAAAAUUUUAGGGUUCAGGGUUAGAAGUAUAAGAAUAAGAGCCAAAUCUAAAAAAUUUAGGUGGCGCGAAAUUUUUUAGAGAGCGCGCUCUUUAAAACGUCGAAAGAAAAACCAUGGCGAAAGUUCUACAAGAACCGACGUAAAUGUAAUAUUCCACGACGGAAACACUGAACGUAACGCCAUUUAUUUUGACGCUUCAUUUUUCGGAUUAAUUUUAAAUUUAUUUUGAAUAUUUUGAUAUAAAGACAACUGAAAAACCACGUCGGGGUUAAGAAAUUUAAGACGUUGUAAAUUAUAAUAGACGACUUACAUAUUAAAAUGACGUCGUUUAAAGUAUAAACCAUGUCGGAUAUUUUACUGCACGACGUAACAUAUGUAUUCCACGACUCAACUACCGUCGUUAAAAAUUAAUACCCUAAACCCUUAAAACUAAAUUACAUAAUUUAAAAAUUUAAGUUUAUAAAAGGGUUUAUGGUUUUACAGCCUAAUAUAUACCCUAUACUACCCAAAAAUUAUACUUUAAAAAUAAACCCCAAUAAAUAACAACCCUAAUCUCUAAACCCUAGACUCUAAACCCUAAACCAUAAAACUAGAAGUGAUUUUAUGACUCAUCAAAACAAUUUUGUUUUGGAUGGUCAUUUUAAAUUUUUGUUAUUCAAAAUGAAUUUUUUCAAGGUUUAGGGGGAAGAAAAUAUAUCAAAGACUUCAUAGGAGUUGACUUUGCAUUUUUCUGAUUUAUUUUAAAUUUAUUUUGAAUAUUUUGAUAUAAAAAUAAUAAAAUAUUCUUAUCACAACAACAAACCACGUCGGUGUUAAUAAAUUGUAGACGUUGUAAAUUGUAAUAGACGACUAAGUUGUUAAAAUGACGUCGUUUAAAUGAGAAACCAUGGCGGAUAUUUAACUAUCCGACGUAAAAUAUAUAUUCCACGACUUAACCGCUGUCGUUGCAAAGUACUACCCUGAACCCUUAAGAAAUUGAAGACGUUGUAAACCAUAAACGACUCAAUUGUUCAAAGAACGUCGUCUAAAUAUCCUUUUACGUCGGAUUUGUUUAAAACGAAACAACAAAAAACGACGGUUUUUGACUUUAUUAGGUCGUUGGAAAAGUAUUACACGUCGGUUACGCAAUUUGUAUGUUUGUUUUUUUUUUUAAUUUAAGAAAACCUCAACAAAUUUUUACAUUAUAUAUUAUAGACAAAAUUUGUACAUUAUACAUAAAUAUCAAGUGUUCAAUAAUUCCCCUAUUCCAGGUGAAGGCAAACAAACUCUGCCCAUUCAUUCCGGACUUCAUCAAUUGCUUCUUGGGGGUAUGGCGCUUCCUGUUUUCCCUUGGCAUACUGCAUAAACAAUGACUAUUAGGGUUUAUAAAUAAAAAGAAAUUCAAUCACAGACGACGAUAUUUUUCAUAACCGACGUAGUAUAUCUAUUCAACGACGGUAAUUUUACAUGACCGUCGUUGAUAAUACAAAAAAUGACGUAAAAUGUAUGAAGGUAAUUUCUUCUUACCUUCUUCUCAAACACCAAGGAAGGAUCCAUGAUGAUGUCCCUCAUGAAGCGCAUCACAUAAUACCCGCAUUCGACACUGCUGGGUUGCUUUGGUGUGCCUGACAGAGUUUUUCAAAUUACUGCUUUACGGCCUGAUCUGGCUAUGUGAGAAUUAUAUAUUUUUAUAGCACUGUUCACGAUGUUUUUGGCCUCUUCAUCGACCACACGAUUUCCGGGCAGAGGAUCCAGAAAAUAGACGAUUUCCCUCUUUGCUCUCACAAUCAGCAAGAUCCAAUGACGGCUGCACAAAAUUAAUAUAAAAACGACGGUUAUUUACAAAAACGACGUAUUAUAAUAUUUCACACGACGAAAUAAAGUAGCAAUCGACGGCAUUAUAUAUUUAUCAUGACGAUAAAUAACUACCGACGUGGUUAGUAGUUUCAAACGACUCAAUAAAAUAAAACACCGACGUGGUUAGUUUAUACGCUGUCAUUUAUUGAAAAUCAUAAAAACAAAAUCCUGUUAAGGAGACUAACCCUGGAUUGUAAGGCAUCAUGAAAAUCUGUUCACCAUCAGUCCUCUGAAGUCGAGCUGCUACCGGUCGUGAUCUGUCAGCUAUUGUCCCAGAGUUGGCACUAACUGUAGCAGGGUUGAUAAAGCCAACCAUGCUGCACAUAUUUGCUUGUUUCAAAAGAUCGUGUAAGUACCUAAAUAUAUAAAAUAAUAUAAACAAGUCAGCACAAAAAAAACACACGACGGUUAUGUAUAACAAAACGACGUAUUAUAAAAUUUCACACGACGUACUGAAAUAGACAACAACGUUAUAAUAUAUUUAUCACGACGGUACAUACUAACGACGUGGUUAGUUAGUUAAGACGACGCAAUAAAUAAACCAACGACGUAUUAUUUUAGAAUGACAAACCUCAUAUAUACAGCAAUGACAGUGGCUCCUAUUUCUUCCAUGCCUGCAAAUUGUGUAAUAUCUUCAGGCAGGAGGAAGGUAUCGCGUUCUAGACCAAACACCUUCUUAUCAAUUGUAAAGUUCAGGGUCUUAUCCUGAGGCACGAGUGUCGUUUUCACAUAACGACAAAGGGAUUUGAAAGAAGAUGGCGCCUCCAUAUUUGAAUAAUCAACAACUUUAAUAACCUGUUCAAAGAAAUAAAAAAAAUGACGUGGUAAUUCAAUAAAAACGACGGUUUAAGGAAUAAAACGUCGUCUGAAAAGAAUUUAAACGACGGUGAAAAAACCGUCGUGGUGAAUAAUUUAUUACGUCUUAGAAAAAAAUUCGCCGUCUAAGUUGUAAACAAACGACGGUUUAAAGAAAAAUAUCGAUGUCUGAAAUUUUGAAAAACAAAUAAAAAAGGCAAAGUUAUGUGAACAUACCUGGUCGUCAUGCUUUUCUUCAUCUUCUUUCUCCUUUUCAUCUUGUUUUUCUUCUUUCUUCUCUUCAUCUUUUUUUUCUUCUUCCUUCUCUUCAUCUUUUUUUUCUUCAUUCUUCUCUUCAUCUUGAUUUCCUUCAUUUUUCGGUUUUUAGUAAUAAAGAAUGUAGAGAAAUUAAAAAAAUUAAAUUCAAACGUCGUGGUAAGACAAAACACAAGAUAGUAUGGACGUCUUAAAUUAUUAAACGAUGGUAAAUAGUAAACGUCGUGGGAUUUAUAUAUUACGUCGGGAAUGACUAACACCGUCGUCUAAAAACCACAAAGUUUUAAAAAUAACGACGUUUAAUGGCGUGUAAAACAAGUAAACUAAAUACGACGUGGUAUUGAAAUACAAACGACGGUUUAUUUUUAAAAUCGUCGUGGUAUGUAUUUCAAACGACGGUUUUAUUAAUAAUAACGACGUCUAAUAGUUUUUUAAAAAACAGAGAAUUCAAAGUUCAAAUAUGUUACCUUUUCUUCCUGAUGUUUCCCAUUUUUGGCAGUAUCAUCCUCAAAAUGUAGGGAUCUCACAUCACCUCCAGAGCAGCUUGCUUUGUCAGACAUUGGAUUUCUGAGACUUUGGCUAAUUCUUGGUUUAAGCAUGCUUGGAUCAAAAUUGGGAAUUAAUUGGGAAAGCUGACUCAGGAAAUGCUCCCUCUCAGCCUCUACCAAUUGUUUGGUUCUAGCCUCCAUCCUUAAAGCCUCUUCCCUUGCCUUAGCUUCCAUCUUUUUAUUCUCUUCUUGAAGGAGAACUCUUAAACUGUCCUUUAAACGGUCGUCAAAGCUCAUCCUCUGUGGUUUGGGUAAAUUGAAAUAUUGCCUUGGGGAAAUCCCAGCACCUACACCUCUCACUCUGCCUGGAUGCUCGGGGUCCAAAGCCAUGGUCAGCACAUCAUUGCUGCCAGAUACACUGACUUUGCCUUCCGAGACUUGUUUUUGCAAUUCAUCCUAAAACAAAGAUAUAUAAAAAAGUAAGAACAAAAAACACACGACGGUUAUUUAUAUACAAACGACGUAUUAUAUAAUUUCACACGACGCAAUAACAUAUAAAUCGACGUUAUUAUAAUUUAUCACAACGGUAGUUAUACCGACGUGGUUAGUUUUUUAAAACGACGAAAUGAAUAAACCACCGACGUCUUAUGCUUUAUUUACAGAUAACAGAGGGAUGAUUCAAUAUUCACACCUUUAACGACCUUGUUUAACACAUUUCGACGUAGUAAUUUAAUACAAACGACGCGAAAAUGAACCACCGACAUCUUAUGCUAUAAUUACAGAAAACAGAGUAGUGAUUCCUGAUUUAGACCUUUAACGACGUUUUUAAAAAAAUGUCGACGUGGUAAUAUCAUUCACACGACGCAAAAUAUAACAUAAGACGUGAUAAGAAUUAUUCACAGUUUAAUAAAAAUUUAAAACAGAGUGAGUAGGCUUACAAUUAAUUUUGCUUUCUCUGCCACCUUUGGAUCUGGGAUGUUACCAUGUUUGUCCUGUCUAGCUCUUUUCCAUAAGGUAGAUCGAUCAAUUUCUACCCCAGGCAUGGUUUCCUCCAAUUGAUCCUCCAAACCAGCAUAUCCUUUUCGAGACAAUCGAUGAUUGUACUCAAGUUUCUCCCUAAUCUGUGCAUGUUGAGAAUGCACAGACUCAAAAUCUUUGGAUAACUUUGAAGCUACAAAGGCAUCCCAUUGUGCUUUCUCUAUGAAUUUAUAUGUCUCAGGGGGUUGGCUUAAUCUCUCCCUGUCAUUGAUGUAUGGAAGGAUAUAAUGCCUCGUUAGUGUAGACUUGAAAUCCUUCCAUUUCUUGGCAGCAGAAGCUAACACAGAGUUCUUGCCCCCUUGACCUACCACAAAAGCAAUGUCAACUGCUUCCCAAAUCUGCUCCUUUAUAUCCUUGGGAAUUUGAGCCCAUUUCAUGUCCACAAGUGGAACUCUGGAGCGUGCCAACACACCAAUGUAGGACUGCAUCUCACUAUGUGCUUGGCCAAUUCCUUUCCCCCUUUUAUUGUACUCAACAAUUGGCCUGAGUUUAUGAAGUUUUCUCUUCACAACACGAGGCAUUGUGUUCAUACCUCGACCAGACUUUGAAUCAUCAGAGAUUGUUGUCGUGCUGGUUGGUUCUGUCUCAGCAGAUGAUGAAGAAAACUUCAUCUUCUUCAAAGACUUCUCUUCAGAAGUUACCAUUCCAAGCUCCUUACCUCCAUUUUUCUUGGAGCCAGAGUCCUUACUUUGGUCUUGAGAAACCAUUUUUACAGACAAAACUGCAAGUGAAAAUAUUUCAGGAAAAGAUUAAGAACACAAACGACGGUUAUUAAUAAAAUAUGACGUAUGAUAUGAUUUUAAACGACGCAAUGAAAUAAUCUCAGACGUAAUAAAUGUUUAAAACCAAGGUAAUUAAACAACGACGAAAUAAUAUAAAAUAAGACGUAAUAAUAACUUAUUACGUCGAUAUUUACCGGACGACGUGAUAAUUAACUAUAAACGACGAAAUAUUUAUAUAACGUCGUGGUAUUGAUGUUCACACGACGUCAAUAGUAAUAUACCGUCGUCUAUAUAAGGAUCCAAAAUCCUUCUUUCUUUCUCUGUGAAUGUUUGAUUGUAGAUUUGAUUUUUCUGAACCAUGGUUUUUGUUUUCUAAUUUGAUAAAAUACAAGGCCAAGAAAGAAAGUUUUGGAAUCUUAUAUAGACGACGGUAUUUUAAUAUGACGUCGUUAUAUUAACAUUCACACGACGUAAAAUAAUAAGAUACUGUCGUCUAUAUUAGAUACCAACCCUACUUUCUUUUUCUUUAUAUUUUAUCAAAUUAGGGAAAAACAAAAACCAUUGUUCAGAGAAAUCAAACCUGCAAUUAAACAAGCAAAUAAAAAAAAGACUAUAAUUUUAAAAACAACUUUGUCAAUUUUCAGACGACGCUAGAACGACUGACGAACCGUCGUGGUCUACAUAUUUAACCACGUAAAUAAGAAGCUACCGUCGUCUUAUUUAGUUGAGGUAGUUGUCUUCAAAGUUGGAAACUUUCCCUCUUUGUCUGUAUAUUUUAUCAAACUUGGAAAGAAGUAAAAUGAUUUUGGCCAGAAAAAAGGUAAAAAGAUUUUUCAAACAAAAAACGUAUGAGCAUGCAAAAUAGCAACCAAAAUAGUGAAAAUGAAAUCUUACCUUUUGCGUGCAAUGAAAGCAAGAGGAAGACGAUGUUUAAGUUCAGAGACGACGAAGAAGACGAGAGGAAGACGAUAAGAUACUCUGACAGUGCUCUGACAAGGAAAAAAGUCAAAAAGUUUUCUCUGGGAGAUUGAAAUUUUUAAUCGGGUUUGGAAACAGUGCAUGUGUAAGUCAGGUAGACGAAAAGUUGCUUACAUAUAAAACCAUUUCAAAAAAAUAAUACGGCGGUUACAUAUAACUACGACGUAUAAAUUACAAAAUACGACGGUACAUUUAACUUCGGACGUGGUAAAUAAAUACGACAGUAGUGUUGUAGGUACCGUCGUAAUAAACUCAAAAAUUAAAGUACAUAAGUAAUAACUCGCGUCAUGGUAGAUUAUUUAACACGUCGUUUUUAUUAAUUUACCGACGUUGAUUUUACAAUUUAAACGGCGGUUUUUUUGUAAGGACCGCCGUUGGUUUUAAAAAUUUAUUCUAUAAAUUUGUCGCUUUCAUUCAUUUUCGGUUUACAUUUAGGGUUCCAAGUUCUUCCUCUCUCAGAGACACUGUCUCUCACAUCUCAAAGACAAUAAUUUGGAUGUCUUUCUCAAAGAGAAAUUGAGCUUACUCGCAUCAAAUCUAUGUCCACAAGAAGAAGCUUGUCAACUAGCCUUCUCACUUCCUUGAUCAAGCCUGAUAGGACACUUAGUGCUUCUGAAUACUCCUUGCUUUCCAUCAAAAGAGAUGCAAGCCUGGGCUCCACUCGCUGUCGAAGGAAAGUUCGCUUCUCAGGGAAAUCUGAAGAUCAGAUGUGCCUGAUCCUCUGCUUGAUUUUCUUGGCUAAGAAGAUCCGUCAUAUUUGUGAUAGCCUCUUCCUUUAUCCGUAGAGCUUCAGACGAAGAAGAUGGGUUUCAAGAAUGCGAUAAAGAAUAGAAAUGGCUUCAGAUGGCCUCUAAAGACAUUGUCAAUGCUUUGAACUAUACAAGUCCUGUAGAAAGAUAAAGGACCAAACUGUUAAAGAAACUGAAACAACGGCGGUUUUCUGUUCUACCGUCGUCUUUUUUCGUCGUCUAUAUUAAGGUAAGAUGGCGGUAGAUUUAUAAUUACCGACGUAGAUUAUUUUGUUAAACGUCGUUAAGUGUAAUACAACCGACGUGGAUUUUAUUUUUAAAUUAUAAAUAGAGUUUUUUUUCCCGAAUUCUUUCAGUUUUAGUUUUCAAUUACAAAGCGUGAUAAAUAGAUUUUUCUUUCCCGAGGAAAUUUAAAAUGAGGGAAAUUAAUGUUCUAGAAUUUGUAAACUAACACGACGCAAUAUUACUAACCAGAGGAAAUUAUAAACAGAUUUUGCUUUCCCGAAGAAAUUUUAAAUUAAUUCAGUUUGAAACAAGGACGGUUUUUUGUUAUGCCGUCGUUUUUAACUAACACGACGCAAUAUUUGUUUUGCGACAUGGAAUCUUUUCAUUUAACGUCGUUAGGUUUAAUAUAAUCGACGUGGAUUUGAAUUUUUAAAUUAUGAAUAGAAUUUUUUUUCCCGUGACCUUUCAGUUUAUUUUUCAAUUACAGUGCGUUAUAAAUAGAGUUUUUUUUCCGGAGGAAAUUUAAAAUGAAGGAAAUUAAUGUUCUAGAAUAUGUAAAGUUUCUUUUUUGGAUGACAGAUUUAAAUAAAAUAAGAAUAUAAAAACAACGACUGUUUUUGUAUUACUGUCGUCGUUUUUCGUCGUCUUAAGUAAGACUAAGACGACGUAAUAUAUUUGUUGAGCGACGUUGAUUUGUUUUUUAAACGUCGUUAGGUAUAAUAUAACCGUCGUUGAAAAUUGUCUCUCUGAUUGCAAAUUUGCAACGACGUUAGGUAUAAUAUUUGUAGAUACACAAACGCACACACAUCAUCAACUUCCAAAAAAUUGUCUCUCUGAUUGCAAAUCUGUGUUAUCUGUUAAGAUUAUGAUGUGGAACAGAGUUCCAUCUGGUAAGAUUUCUUAACCCUUGGGAUCUUAGAAAAAUCUGAUUAUGUCGGCGGUUUUCUAUAUAAACCGUCGUGGUUAUUUCAAUUCUUGUCAUUAAGUAGAUCUACCGACGUAGGAUAAGAAAAUCAAAGAAAAAAAUUGUUAACAAAAAUUCUUAUUAAGACGACGGUUUAAAUUAAAGGUACGACGUAUAAAAUGAAUAAAUACGACGUUAAAUUUUAUAGUACGAUUUAAAGAUAACGUCGUAGAACUAUACGAGAAUGACGUCGAUAUAUUUAUAUUUUCCGUCGUUGUACAUUAAUUUAAUACGGCGAUAUUUUGUAUUUUAAAGCCGUGGAUUUGUUUGUAAUUAUACGGCGUCUUAUACGAAAACCUCGUCGUGUUAUUUUAUGAGUAAAAACGGCGGCUUUUAUUGAAAUCGUCGUCUUUACUUUCUACGUCGGUCGAUUCAUAACUUCUGCCGUUCUUUGUUGGCUUUGAUUUUACACUGCGGAAAUCUGUUUCAAAUAGACGUCGGUUGUUUAAUUCGGUACAUCGUUGUUUUUGAACAGCCAUUUGAAUCUCCAUUUUUUAGUUGUCUAAGGUGGUAUUACACGACGGUGUUUUUAGAACCGUCGUCUUUUUAAAAACCACGACGGUUUUCACUUAGACCGUCGUUGUUUUCUGGUCGUCUUUUUCACUUUUUGUAGUAGUGAUUGCUAAAUGGAACAAGGAAAUUACAUAAUAUUACAAAUGAAACUAAGCUCUAGUGAUCUCCAUGUGCCCAAAAAUCAAACCCGAUCCAAUGCAUCUUCGUGGUUUAAUGAAUAUGGCACUUUGCUUGAAAAAGGACUUGCACACUCAAAUAUCUUUUAUAUGCAAAGAGCUUCCAUUGAGGAAUUACUUAAAUAAGUUAUUUGGAGGACACCCUUGUAGGGCCCACUUCACAUUAUAUUUCACUAAUGAAUAAUAAGGCCAUGGAGUGGAAAACAAUUUGAAUCUUUAUUCUGAUUGCUUGAUAUAACGUUUAAUUGGGUUUAAUUGUGAAAAAUACUGUAUACCCACUAAAAUAUCAUUUACCUGUUUGUUUGUUCUGGGCAUUAAAUUCUGUUGGGUAUCUUUGUUUUUAACGUAGACUUUCCCUUCAAUUUAUUUGAUUCCUACAAGGAAAACUUUUGCAGAAGAAGCUACUGGUCCACAUGGUUCUUCAUCCACAAACUUAGACAAUUUAGUGAAGCAAGUGCUAUUGAGAAAAAGUGAAGAUGUUUCCAUAAGAAUAUUGAUGUUAUUAAUUAUCAUUUCCAUUGCCAUUGUCUCAAAUAAUCAACUAUCUGGCAAUAUAUAUGUACUACUGGUCUGUAACCAUGAUGCAUACUAUAUCUAGAAUUUUUUUCUGAUUAAGGUUUCACUACGCUUCAGGCCUUUAACUCUAAAAUCUUAUUGGAGAAUCGGCUAAUAUUUAAUUAUUUUUUUAUACGUAUUUCCUUUUUAUUAUGUUCUAUACAUAUUUAAUUGGAUUACUACUCUCAAGGAAGAUUAUCCUUAAGUAUUAUAUUCAACAAAUUACUAUUCAUGUGUCAGUUGGUUUACAUUUAUUGUAUUAAAUCAAUACUCACCAAUUCUUUAAAGUGUGAGAUAAUUAGUCACAAAUAAUGGUGACUAGUAACCAAAGUCAUUGACCACCCAUUCAAAUGUCACCAAAACUAUUUUGUUGCUAUACAAAUAUGACUAAUGCUUUCUAUUUUGUCGCCGGAUCAAGGCCGUGAAGUUCCGGGUUAAACCGUGAGUUUCCGACGCCGAUUCCAACCACUUGCCGUCCGAAUUGGACUUGGGUGUAGUUGAAUAAAAUGUUCCACUCGUCGAGUAGAACCUGUAGCCGGGAGGGUGGCUUGUAGUUUGGAGAUUUUCCGGUGAAGCUUUAUCGCUUUGGACACCUGCGCUUGUGGCGGCACGUGGGCACUGUAGCAGAGGGGAAUUAUUGUCCCAAUGCAAUCUCCUGGUUGUCACGAGUACGUAGGAAUUCGCGGAUCUCAAUUCGGAUGUCGUUUGACUAUCGAACGGAUUUUCGCAUAGUGUGCGUUAUCCGGGUUCGAUAGGUUAUGACCGUUGGAUCAUUUCCCAAUUAAAUUAUGUUGUUCUAGGUAUUCCUAGGAUCGUGUAGGACUUCGCAGAUCGUGAAUCGGAGCCCGGAUGUUCCAAUUCAAUAACUUAAAGUUUGAGUUUUAUAUUAACCGUCCGAUCGUGCGAUCGUAAGCGAUCUAACCGUCUGUUUUGGACCAAACUUGCGACACGGGUAUCUUAGACCUUGUGGAACCUUUAGGAACUUACGGAUUGUAAAACGGAGGUCGUGGGUCCCGUGGACCCGGUUGACCUGAAUUGGGAAGUUUGACCGCCGGUUGACCGAGUGUCUCCCGAAGUUGUUCUAUCGUCCAAAUUGAGUAGUUGGACCUUAGAAUGUCUCAUUCCUAGUACACUUACUAGAAACUUGGGAAAUUAGGAUAUUUAAUUCAAAGUACUCGUUCGAAACGCUUCGUAUUAAUCUUGUGUACGUAUUCUGAAUUAGGUACUUCGAUCACGCAUACGCAGCAGGCGGGACCCUCUCAGGGUCAAGCAGCGUGGGACUACUUGUGAGUGAACUUUGUUUUCAAAUCUUAUACAUGUUUUUAUUGAUGAAAGAUUUAUGCAUAAUGUUUUUAAUGAUUUAUUGAAUAUAUUAUAUUCAUGGGUUGAAUUUGAUGUUUGUAUAGCGCUUUGUCAAUAUAUUGUGGGUUUGGCAUUGUUGGGUAUUGAAAGCAUAUUUUAUAUGGAUUUUGGGAAAUAUUAUGCAUGAUGUUUUAAACGGUAUUUUGGAUAUAUUAUUUAUGAAAUUGUUGAAAGUGAUAUUUUUAUGAGGCAUUGAAAAUAUAUUUUGGGUUUUGACAUAUUUGAGUAUCUUGAGUAUGAAUAUAUGGAUUUUGAGGAUUUCUAUAUAUAUUUGGCUAUGUGUGAGGUACUUGGGUUGUUGAGAUGAGAUUGUGGAAAGUGGUGAGUAUAGAAUGUCAGUUUGGUGUGAAGCACUACCCUAUGUACCUCCCCUGAUUUGGAACUUGGAUAUAGAGACUUGAGAUACUUGGAAUUGUCGGAACCCGGGGCAUCCUUGACGGGAUGUUGCUGUACACCCUUAAUUGGGUAGUCUGCGCGUGUAGGACUGAUCACAGACGUAUGAGUUUUGAGGUUAUCGACGGUACGUGCUGGCUGAGAGUUGGUCCCCCAGUUGGACGGCUCGUUCCCUAGUCACAUAGUGGAUUGAGGACUUUUCAUGAGGACUCUGCCAAGGUGACUAGUCAAAAAAUCCCCCGGUUCGAUUGUUUCCCCGGUACAACUAGGUGAUGGUCAUAUUUAUAAUAUAUAUAUCUCUUAUAUGAUAUAUUUAUAUAUAUAUAUAUAUAUCUAUUGAUUCAUUCUUGUUUAUCGGUGUGGAUACUUCCUUGCCGGUCUUACCAAUGGGUACGCUUUCGAGAGUUUAGUUGUGAGAUUUAUAAGUUUUGGAUGGUGGGUUUUGUAAAGCGUUCUUUAUGGAUUUUGAACUUCGUAUCUGGUAUUGAUUUGUUUUGAUAUAUAUAUAUUAUAUAUAUAUAUACUUGAGUAUGAUGGUUUUGAGAUGCAUGGGAUUUCUUGCAUGGUUUUCUAAACGGUGGGGUUAUAUUACGUUGGUUUACAUUGAACUGAAGUUAUUUUUGUCCACUCACAAUUUUCUGUUUUGCGCCCCCCAGCCAGUAGUUGACUGAGCUCCGCAGCAGAGCCGGAUCAUGAGCUUCCGAACCUUGAGUCUUCGUAGGACUCUUUCUUCAUGUUUUUCCCUUUGAACUCUGUUUUGUUGAAAUUGAAGUUCUUAGCCAUGCUCUGUUAUCGCCCCUGUUAGGGUUUGAUUUGUGAGGCCGGAGGCCAUUUUGUUGUAAACUGUUUAUUCGCUUUAAAGCAUGCUGCUGGUUGGGAUUAUUCUAUGUUUAUGCAGGUUGAAUUUUUGUUGGGUUUGUUCAAUUCACAGGGGAGACUUUGCCAAAAUUUUGGUAGAGAGUAUGGGUUUUUAGUAAGUGGGCCCGGCAUCGGGAUGAUGUCGGAACAAAGACGGGAUUCGCCCUGGUUUCCGGGAAUUACGUAUAUAAUACAACUUCAAUAUUUAUAUGUAUAUUAUUUCAUUAAAUAUUUAUAUAUACAUAUAUAUGUUCUUUUGAAUAAAAGGGGUUAAAUUAUAUAUUUGUUCAUUAUUUCUUGAGAUGCCAUUAGAUGGUUAUUGGAUGCUUUCUAUACAUAUAUAUUAAUAACAUGGAUUAAGAGUUUAGACGUGGCAUCCUUACAUUGUUUUCUUGGAGAGAAAGACUAUUUCUCUCUUAUCUUAAUUAGGAUGCCGGAUGUGGCUUUUUCCAUUAAAUUAGUUGAUGCAUUACCAUGCAUUUGCACAGCUCAUGCUUACAAUUUGGUGAGUAAGCUUUAUCUUAGCUUCAAUAGGUGUCACAGCCUUUGGAAAUAAAUCUCCUAGCGUUGACACAUAGCAACUUAUAAAAUAGAGUGGCAACCAAGUUAUCUUUUCGUAUAAAUAAGAUAAUGUCCUUUGUUAUUAUCCUCUCCAUUGUUACGCCAUCUCACCACCAAUAAAUAGAAGUUUUAAUGGAAGGAAGAGAUAUCAGGCAAAGGGUAAAGAGAGAGGGAGAGAGAGAUGAUGAUGAUGAAAUUCUUAGAAGAGAUAUAGGAUUUAGCUUGUAUUUUCUUAACUUGGAGAGAGAGAGAUGAUGAUGAAAUUCUUAGAAGAGAUAUAGGACUUAGCUUGUAUUUUCUUAACUUGGAGAAAUGCUUUAGAAUCGAGGUAGGAGUUUCUUGGUGACCUUUUAUAAAGAUUGAUCAAAUUAAAUUUCGUGAGCAUUAUAUCAUGCAUGAUAUUAUUAUUCGAUUAUUAUUGAUAUUGGGUGUUUAAGUGUUGUUAAUUAUCAUAUUAUUUUAUUAAUAUUGACAUGAUCAUAUGUUAUCGGUGAUGGCUGGAAUUCUUGGGUUGAUAAAGAAAGUAUGGAAAAGGGGAUAAUGGGAAGGAUCUUUUGUGUAGUUGAGUCUAACUCUUGGUAAGUACCAGGUCUCAGGGAUCCCGCAGCGCACAUGGUUUUUAUUGGGCGAUUCAGGACUGGCGACAGGGAGUUAGACAAGAUGACUAACGAAAGGGAAAUUAUGGGAUGAUUGAAAUGGGUGUUAGUUCAUACAAAUGGGCAUUCGGGACCAAGUGGUAUAAGCAUGGUAUGGGACGUGCAAAUCUGCUUGUCCAGUUAUAUGAAUUAACAGGAGUAGAUGAAGAGCAUUCAUUCAUGCAUUAUUAUUAAUAAUGUGAUAUUUGGCUGUGUGAUUGCAUGUCACUUAAUUUAGAUAUAUCAAUCUACUGCGGUAAGGUCUCAUGUCCCUACUGAGCGGUGAUUGUUCAUUCCUCACCCUGUUUAAUUUUUCAGAUGAAUUAGUAGGCAAGACAAAGACUAAACCAAUUGAGGCUAAAUUAGAUGAGAGUGAUAGAGCUUUAUUUUUUUAAUUUUAAAGUUGUAAGAUUUUGGGAGCUAUUUUUAUAAGAAAAGUUUAUUUUAUGUUUCAACUUCCUGUUAUUCUAUUUUACUUUUUAUUUUCUCAUGCACUAGGCACGAGGUUUCCACUAACCCCCAGGUCCGAGGCGUGACAGAAUGGUAUAAGAGCUUUAGGGAUUAAAUACCCUUGGGAACUGUGGUAUAGUAUUACCACAAAGUAAAUUUGAAUUGGUGAAGUAAGUUAGUGACCUAACUUUUCAGGAGCAUAUUUCUUUUUAUGAUUAAGUGUAGUUUACGUAAUAAUUGUUUAGUAUUGUUUUAUAUAUGUUGGUUUAAUUUGGUAGAAAUAUUUGGUAAAGGUUCAAUUGUUAAGAUAGCUAGAGUAGAUGGGAAACGUGACAAUGAUAAGAAUGGUAGCAUGAGGGUAAUACUAACCAUUCAGGAUAUGGCCUUUGCAAUACGUGAAACGAAUCAACAAAACCAAGAACCCCAUCAAGAGAUUCAAGGUGGUCAAACAAUGAGUGUUAAAGGAGAAAGAUAAAUGAACAAAGAGUUCUAGGAAAUCUGAAAGUGGCUAUUGCUUCUACCUAUUUGGGAGGAGCAAGGAGACCAGAAUAACUCACUCAAGGACAUGUGUAUGCUAUUGGACAAGUGACAAAGCAAAAUGAACCUACUAUGGUAGAAGGUACAUUUCUAGUUUACAACUCAUGGGCUAAGAUAUUGUUUGACCGGUGCUACAAAUUCAUUCAUCUCUAUUUCGUUUGCGUUUAUUCUUGGAUUAGAAUAUGAAUUUAUGAAAUCUUCAUUAAUGGUUGGAUCUCCAUUGGGUAAAUGUGUCGAAGUUAAUAAGGUGUGUAGAUCUUACAUAAUAGAGAUAUCAUAUCAUAAAAUUGUUGUUGACCUUAUGAUAUUGGAAUUAAUGGAGUAUGAUGUAAUAUUAGGGAUGGACUUGACCCAAUUUAAAGCUAUUUUUGAUUGUGGUAGAAAGAUGGUGACUAUGACUCUUAGCGAGGGAAAACAUGUAGUUUCUAUGGAAGUAGGAAUACUCACAUCAAUCUUGGAUAAUGGAAAUUGUAAUUAUUUGAGAUUGAUUGCUCACAUGGUCACUGAGGAUCUAAGUAAUACCAAGCUUGAGCUUAUCCCAAUAGUGAAAGAUUUCGGUGAUGUUUUCCCAGAAGAAUUAUAUGGAAUCCCCCUAGAAAUGGAGUUUUUCUAUAGAUAUUUAUCCUGGCAUGUCACCUAUAUCUAUACCUCCACAUUGAAUGGCACCAAUAGAGUUGAAGGAACUCAAAACACAACUUCAAGAACUUGAAAGUAAAGGUUUUAUUCGUCCUAGUACCUUACCAUGGGGGUUUUUUCUCCAUUCUUUGUGAAGAAAAGUGAUGGAAGUUGUAACACCCCGACCUCAAAUUUAACCUUUAUUUAAUUAUUUAAUUAUUUAAGGGCAUUUUGGUCAUAUUUUUAACCGGAGAGAGUUUGGGGCAGUGACUAUGUCACAUCCCGGGAUCAACUCCGUCGUAGCACGAUAUUGUCUGCUUUGGGCCCCCCCUCUCUGGCCCUCACGGUUUUGUUUCUGGGAGCUCACGAGCAACUUCCCAGUGGGUCACCCAUCCUGGGAUUGCUCUGGCCCCCAACUCGCUUAACUUCGAAGUUCCUACGACUUCGAAGCCAGUGAGCUCCCAAAAGGCCUCGUGAUAGAUGGAUGCGGGUGUGCACAUAUAAGGCACAUCGCCCCCUCUCCGUUGGUUGAUGUGGGAUCUUACAAUCCACCCCCCUCAAGGGCCCGACGUCCUCGUCGGCACACUCACACCACACGGCAGAGUGGCUCUGAUACCAAAUUGUCACAUCCCGGGAUCAACUCCGUCGUAGCACGAUAUUGUCCGCUUUGGGCCCCCCCUCUCUGGCCCUCACGGUUUUGUUUCUAGGAGCUCACGAGCAACUUCCCAUUGGAUCACCCAUCCUGGGAUUGCUCUGGCCCCCAACUUGCUUAACUUCGAAGUUCCUACGACUCCGAAGCCAGUGAGCUCCCAAAAGCCCUCGUGCUAGAUGGAUGCGGGUGUGCACAUAUAAGGCACAUCGCCCCCUCUCCGUUGGUUGAUGUGGGAUCUUACAGACUAGUAUUUUUAGAUAGGUCGUACUGAGACGAGUUCAUAGACAUGUAGUGGGCUCGAAUCGGAGUUCUAACGAGAGAGAUAUGGUCAAAAGAAGCCCAGUGGCACAAUCGUAAAUAUUUCAAAAUGGGAUUUUUUUUAUAAAAACUCAGAUUUUUUUUUCUCUCUCUCUCUCUCUCUCUCUCUCUCUCCCGCGGGUGUCUCUCUCCUCUCUCUCGCGCGCGACGGCAGCUGGCCACGUUUUGGCCGGCCGUGCUCUCCUCCGGCCACCAAUGACGACGGGACCGGUACCAAAAUGACCGGGCCGUCGUCCUCUCGAGCUGCUCUAGCUGAUGGUUGGGUAGGAUUAGAUCGAUUCUUAGCGUAGACAAUUCGAUUUUCGAAUUGAAAUUCGGCCGGUUUUGGGAUCGCGAUUCCGGCCACUUCCGGUCAGUUUUUGGGGUAGGUCCAAGAACAAAAGUGGCUCCAAAUAGGGUGUUAUACCUAGGGUAGGAGUUUUGAGCUGUGGUUUUGAGAUUUUCCGGCGAAGCCGUUAUCGCUUUGGGCACCCACGCGCUGCCGGCGCGUGCGGCGGCGUGUGGGCACUGUAGAAAAAGUAGCAAUGUGUUCCGAUGAGAUCCUUAGGUUGUCACGAGUGCGUAGGAUUUCACGGAUCUCAAUUCGGACGUCGUUUGACUAUCGAACGGAUAUUCGCAUAUUGCGCGUUAUCCAGGUGCGAUAGGUUGGGGCCGUUGGAUGGACCCAAAUUUAAUAUAUGUUGAUCUAGGUAUUUCUAGGAUCGUGUAGGAAUUCACGGAUUGUGAAUCGGAGCCCCGGAUGUUCCGAAAAAUAAUUUUAAAGUUUAUAUUUUAUAUUAACCGUCAGAUCGUGCGAUCGUGAGCGAUCCGACCGUCCGAUCUGAACCAAACUUGCAGGACAAGAUUCCUAUACCUGGUAGAACCCAUAGGGACUCUCGGAUCGAAAAUUGGAGGUCGUGGGUUCCGCAGGUCCUUUUGACCAGGGUUAGAGUAGUUUGACCCUUGGUUGACCGUGAGUCUCCCGGAGUAAUCUCACCUUUCUAGGGGAGAUUAUCGGGUACUAGAUUAUUGUGGAGGGUUACACAAUAUUAGAAUUAAUUUAUAUAUUUAUAAUUAUAAUAUGUUUGUACAAGAGUACAAAAGAGUCUAGACUGUCAGUUUGGAGUGCUAUACCCACUACUUUAGGUACCUUCCCAAAUUUUGGAUUCACUACAAGCACCACCAAGUGAAAGUUAGGUCUCACAUGGCGUAGGUUAUCCGGCGUUAAGACAGGCCCCAUACGUGGCGUUGGUUGUACCGGCGUAUGGGGAGAUAUUGUGAUAUUGUGUUGAGAUCGCACGUGGCGUAGGUUAUCCGGCGUGUCGACAGACCCCAUACGUGGCGUUGGUUGUACCGGCGUAUGGGGAGAUUUUUGAUAUGAUAUUGAGGUCCCGCGUGGCGUAGGUUAACCGGCGUUGGGACAUGCCCCAUACGUGGCGUUGGUUGUACCGGCGUAUGGGGAGAGAUGUGAUAUGAUGUGCAGGUUUCGCGUGGCGUAGGUUAUCCGGCGUUGUGACAGAUCCCAUACGUGGCGUUGGUUGUACCGGCGUAUGGGGAGAUAUUAUGAUAGUAUGGCAUGGUCGCACGUGGCGUAGGUUAUCCGGCGUGUUGACAGGCCCCAUACGUGGCGUUGGUUGUACCGGCGUAUGGGGAGAUAUUAUAUGAAAUACAAAGAAAUGAAAUAAGGUAUCGCCCAAGUGUGGAAUUAGGUUUUAUGGAAGAACUACGUGUGGCUUGAUCCCUCAAGGAGGGUACGUAGGCAGCCUAAGGUUAUUAGCUGCAGCCGCAGACUAAAUAUUAGUCAUAAUUGGUAUUUGAAUUGUUUGGUAGUUGGUUAAGAAUUAUUGGAAGGCCGAAGGCCAUUUGUGCGAAUUGCAUGAAAUUAUAUUGUGCAUGCUGCCAGUUGGGAAUAUUAAAUGUGUUUUCAUGCAGGUAUAAAUUUUGGGAAAUGUCCAAUUUAUAGGGGAGACUCUGCCGAAUUUUCGGCAGGAAGUCUCGGUUUUGAGUAUUUGGGCCUGAUAUCGGGAGGAUGUCGGGAAUUUCAAAGGGUUCGCCUCGAGUUCUGAAAAAUUCGGAGCGGGUCCUUUCAGAAGUCUUAGGAUGUGUUUUGUUGCAAGCUAACAAAGUAGUUGCAUACGACUUUUGUCAAUUGAAAUGACAUGAAAAGAAUUAUCUAACACAUGAUCUAGAAUUGGCAACCAUUGUUCACACACUGAAGAUAUGGAGAUAUUAUUUGUAUGGGGAACGUUUUGAACUCUUUUUGGAUCAUAAGAGUUUGAAGUAUUUAUUGACUUAGAAGGAGUUGAAUUUAAGACAAAAGCGAUGGAUGGAAUACCUGGAAGAUUAUGAUUUUGACUUACAUUAUCUUCCAGGAAAGGCUAAUGUGGUAACAGAUGCUUUAAGUCAAAAUCCUCAAGGAAUUGUAGCAAGUUUGUAUGAUCAAAGGUGGAAGAUGGUGGAGUCUCUUUACGAUUUUGACCUAUAUAUAGGUGCGCAUGAGGAUUGUGCAUAUCUAUGUAAUUUGGUAACUCACCCCACUUUGAUUGGAAGAAUAAUUGAGGCACGGGAUUUGGAUUCUAUGUCUGAAGACAUUCGAACUAAGAUUACAACUAGAAAGACACAGGAAGGAUGGAGUAUCCUCACAAGCAGUGGAUUAAGAUAUUUGAAUAAGUUUUAUGUACCAAAUAUUUCUGAUAUAAGAAAUGAAGUUCUCAGAGAAAGUCAUCAUUCACCUAUACAAUUCAUUCUAGAGGGACAAAGAUGUAUCGUGAUUUUAGACGUAAUUUUUGGUGGAGUAGUAUGAAGGGAGGUGUAGAAAUAUUUGCAGCAAAAUGUCUAACAUGUUAGCUGGUGAAAACUGAAUAUCAGAAACCGUCAAGUCCAUUACAGCCAUUACCAGUAGUAGAAUGGAAAUGAGAUCAUAUAACAAUGAAUUUUGUUACAGGUUUACCUAAAUAUCCAAAAGGACGUGAUGCAAUAUGGAUUAUGGUGGAUCGUUUGACCAAAUCUGCACAUUUCAUACCAGUCAAAUCAAUGGAUUCCACUAAAAAUCUUGGAAAGCUUUACGUUAGAGAUAUAGUAAGAUUACAUGGAAUUCCUAUUUUGAUUGUAUCGGAUAGAGAUUCCAAGUUUACUUCUAAAAUUUGGGGAAGCUUACAGAAAGUGUUAGGUACGCAACUAAAUUUGGUACCGCCUUUUAUCCCCAAACUUAUGGACAAUUGGAGAGAACUAUUCAAAUUUUAGAGGACUUGUUGAGAGCAUGUAUUCUAGAUUUGGAGGGAAGUAGUUGGGAAGAUCAUUUAGUGGUAGUAGAGUUUGCCUACAACAACUAUCAGUCUAGCAUUCAGAUACCACCUUAUGAAGCUUUAUAUUGAAGACCUUGUCAAUCACCUGUGUGUUGGACUGAAGUAGGAGAAACUGUAUUGCUAGGACCUGGUUUGGUACAAGAGACAACUGAAGGGAUUAAAGUUAUCAAGCAACGUCUUUUAACUACUCAAAGUUGACAAAAGAACUAUGUAGACCGAAGAAGGAAAACAUUAAGUAUUGACGUGGGUGAUUAUGUAUUUCUUAAACUCUCACUACUAAGUGGAGUAAAAAAAGGUUUGGGAAGACUGGAAAAUUAUCACCAAAGUUUGUUGGACCAUUUGAAAUCUUAGAAAGGAUGGGUGAAGUAGCUUAUAAGUCAGCAUUACCACCUCAACUGUUGAAUGUACCUGAUGUUUUCCUUGUUUCUAUGCUUCGAAAGUAUGAGCCUGAUCCAACCCAUUUUCUAGAUUGAGGAGAGCUCAAUUUAGAUGAGGAACUGUCAUUUGAAGAAAGACCGACUCAGAUUUUGGAUUCUAAGGAACAAGUGUGACGUACGAAAAUAAUACCAUUGGUCAAAAUUCUUUGGGUACAUGGGAAUACAUUGGAAGCUACAUGGGAAUUAGAAACUAAAAUGUGUAAGAAGUACCCAUAAAUUUUUCCCUUAUUCCAGUUUUUCUUUUUAACUCGAAAUUUCUUUAAGGAGAGUAGAUUGUGAGAGUCUGUUUCUUAAAUGUUCAUUAAAGAAAAAUAAAUGUUAUUAUAUAUUCUUAAGUAAUUAUCUUGCUAAGAAGGAAAUGUAUAUUUAUAAUUGUUUUACGUUUAUAAUACCAUUUCAAUAGUUAUGUGUAUAUUAUUUCAUUAAAUAUUUAUAUAUACAUAUGUUCUUUUGAAUAAAAAGGGUUAAAUUAUAUAUUUGUUCAUUAUUUCUUGGGAUGCCAUUAGAUGGUUAUUGGGUGCUUUAUAUACAUAUAUAUUAAUAACAUGGAUUAACAGUUUAGACCUGGCAUCCUUACAUUGUUUUCUUGGAGAGAAUGACUGUUUCUCUCUUAUCUUAAUUUGGAUGCUGGAUGUGGUUUUUUCCAUUAAAUUAGUUGAUGCAUUACCAUGCAUUUGGACAGCUCAUGCUUACAAUUUGGUGAAUAAGUCUAUCUUAGCUUGAGGUGGAGUUUAUAAUUUCAAUAGGUGUCACAGCCUUUGGAAAUAAAUCUCCUGGCGUUGACACAUAUAUAGCAACUUAUAAAAAAGAGUGGCGACCAAGUUAUCUUUUUGUAUAGAUAAGAUAAUGGGCUUUGUUAUUAUCCUCUCCACUGUUACCGCCAUCUCACCACCUAUAAAUAGGAGUGUUAAUGAAAGGAACAUAUAUCAUGCAACAUGAGAGAGAGAGAGAGAUAUGAUGAUGAUGAUGAAAUCCUUGGAAGAGAUUAGGACUUAACUUGUAUUUUCUUAACUUAGAGAUAUGUUUUGGAAUCGAGAUAGGAGUUUUUUGGUGACCUUUUACAAAGAUUGAUCUAAUUAAAUUUUGUGAGCACUAUUGUUCACCCGUGUUCGUGUUUAACUCCUGAUGUGGAAGGGCGAAGUUCCCCACUGGCUUGAAGACCACUUGCUGGUCGACAAGUCAGCUUUCUUUGGUGUGUGAGCGUGCCACUGCUAGCAAUGUAGAUUCUAGCAGACUUAUUUUGAAAGUGGAUAACUUGCGCCUCAAGUUACUGGCUUCUAAAACAAAACGAUUGUGAAUUUGGGUGAGGAAUAUCUCCCAAGUAAGUUCUUUUCUUGCCUCAGACUGGUGAGGACUUUCAUAAUUUAUCUCAGUAUCAAAUGGUUGUUCUGGCCAGAAUGGAUAAUAAUAAAGUACUAUUUUCAGGCAGAACUCCCUUUUACAAAAUUAAGCAGGGAGAAACCGACUCUAGAAAGGCAAAAAGAUGGCUGAAACUCCAUUUCUGCCUGGGUGGAAACUUCUAAUCCGGGCUGGACUGGGCAUGUCUACGCUGGACUGUACUGUCGACAACUUUAGCUUCUUGGCUUCAGCUGUAAAUCGAUACCAAAGUUCAAUUUUGGCAGAGCUUCAAUCUACUUCAAGCCUUGGGAGACUUUUGAGCGGGCAGAACUGCGACUUCUUCAGUUUGAAGGGACAGAAGUGGCUAUUCGUAUUCAGCAAGCUGGAACUAUGCUAUAAAAUUUGUUGAGGUUUUCAUAUUUGUGAAAACUCAAACUGUGUUUGUCUUGGCUGUUGCUAAACCAAACUUGUAACGAGAGGGAUCUCGCUUUCAGAGGACUUAUUUUCUAAGUCUGAACUUCGGAAUUCUGAUCUAAAGCUGGUUUUCUUUGGAUCCAAGUGAGCUUUUUCUUGUUUGUUUUUUGUGAUUGAUUGAUGCAUUGAGUGUCCUUUGUUCCUUUGCCUACUUUCGUUUUUAUAAGAGACCCUCCUGGGGAGGUGAUUUUUAAUCCUAAAUAAUGGGCGGCAAAAAGAUCUCUUAUAAUAUAAAGUAAGAAGGAUUUCUUAUCAAUCAAGACAGAUAGGUUCUGAGCAGUCACCUCCUAAAGCAGUCUCUUGCCUGGUUUCCUGGGUGGCAGUUUCUAAUUCAAACCACCGCCACCAUCUGUGUAGGCUUUUUAUGGCGGUUUGGCUUUUUCUUUUAUAUUUUCUGAAUGGUUCCCUAUUUCCCGUUCUAAUUUAGAAAGCGUGAUCCGUGAAUCCCUGGGGGGGUGGUGCAUCGAUUUGGAGCAAAAUCUUGAACAUAGAUGGGUUUUUUGAUCUUCAAUUGGCAGUGUUUCAGAGACGUCCCUUUCAUAUUUUUAAAUUUCAGUCGGUAUUGCUGACUUUUCUAAAGCUGAGGCAAUCACGUGGGUGUGUUUUUGAUCCCUUGGGUCUGAACCUAAUCAAUAAUUCAUGGGCUGAUCUUUUGAAGCCCAUCUUGUCAGUUUCCUCUUUGGGCCUUUCUUUGGGCUGAAGCUUUGUUUUCAACAUUCUUGGUGUGAAGCCCAAUCUGUCUGGAUCCUAUUUUGUUUUUCUCAAGUUUUCGGGCUGGGCAGGCAAUUUCAUCAUGGGCUUGUCUCUUGGUUUUUGGUGUGCCGAAUUUUGGGCCCAAACAAUGCCCCCAUUAAGUCUGAAUCGUUUUUUGGACGGUUUUAGACUUAAUGUUUUGCCAUUUAAUUCGCGCACCAGUUUCUUCCGUCUUUUCGCCCACGUCUGCCAUGUUUGCUUGCUACGAACUAGAGUUCGUGGGAAAACGGCUAGUUAUUAGCUAGUUACUAGCUAAUAAUCAUCAGGUGCCGUCCCAUCUUCUUCUUCCCACGUUUUCGAGCCCCUCUUUAAAAGAAAUUCAAAUUCAUAGCCUCUGAAAACCCUAAACCUUCCAACUCUUAUUCCUGCGAGCUUCUUUCGAGAUCUCCAUAUCUUUCUUCAAACCUCUCCUUCUUCUGUUUCUGCCUUUGAAUCAGAAAUGUCUUCCCCAAGGUCCCGUGCUCAAUCCUCUUCCGCUCCAAUUCCUCCCGAUUAUAUCACUGGGAGCGGGAUUAAUGCUCACGCGAUAGAAAUCAGGAGCAAGCUUCAUCCCUUUGCCCAGAAGAAUCUGGACGAGAAUGUCCUCCAUUUGUUCGAGAAUACCCUGGUGUUAGGGCCUCACUGGUUUGGUCCUGUUCCAGCUGAGAUGGCAGAACUGCUAAAAAAGGAUGCCGAGGCUCCUUUGUGUUUUGAGAGCUCUUCUGCCCUGGCCUAUCAUUCUUGGGUUAGCAAGAAUUUGAGUCGAUCUUUCCCGUCCAGCGAGGUGAGGAACAGUUCCGUCAAAUGGGCAGACUGGAUUGACAGACUUCUCCCGAGAUAUGGGGGUCACUGGAGGAGAGCUGGGAUUUAUGACGCCAUUCUUCUGUCCAAACAGUCGAUUAACAGAGAUGAGAACCUGCUUGCUGCUGCCCUGUGUUUUUGGAAUUCUGCCAGCAACACAUUUGAUUUCCGUGUGGGUCCCAUGGCUCCAACUCUGCUGGAUAUGGCUCAGAUUUUUGGGUUUAGGCCCCAUGGCAGACCUGUUGAUGCUGUUGGGGACUAUCACAGGCGAAAGAACCAAGAGAAAGUGGCUACCCCCUUCACUGUCUCCCCAGCCACGAUCAACCAGAACUGUUCUUUCUCCAAUUAUCUGAAGAGAUUCAGUGCUGAGAAGGACAAAGAUCAGCAACAUAUGUUGUUCCUUCUAUAUUGGCUGAACCGAUUUGUCUUCCCCAAUCGGUCUUCGGCAGUUCUGCUUGAGUAUAGACAUCUGGCAAAAGCUCUUCACAAUCACACUGAUGUGGGGCUUGGACCAACAGUUCUGGCCCACCUUUUCAAGAAUCUGCAUACUGCCACUCUGGAAAAUCCGCUGAACCUGUCUGCCCCUGGCGCAUUCUGGAUGAUCCAGAUCUGGCUGCAGGUAUAUUUCCCUGAGUUAAGGUUCCCAGACAUAGUUCUGCCUGAAAACCAAGUUCUGGCUCUUCCCCUGAUGUCUGCAGAAGUGCCUAAGCGCUCUCUUGAGGAGUAUUUGAUGUUCUUCAGGCAUUGUACCAAGAGGUCGGCUGCUCAGUGGCAAGUGGUGAUCAGAAGGACCUAUCCCUGGUUCCAGACUGUAUUUUGGCUUUUUGAGAAGGAGCCAGAAGAUGAGGCUGCCAGAACAGACUUUAGGAAGAAGUUCUUGAGCAUUACUCUGCCUAGAGAUCUGCCUCAUGGUGGGGGCAAACCUCCAAACUAUCAUCUGGGGGCAGAAGUCUAUCAUCCUAACUUCUGUGCAAGGCAGCUUGGCUGUCCUCAGCUUAUUCCGCUGAAAUCAUAUCGUAGUUGCAAUCGGGCCUCUUCUUGGAGGGAUGCAGAUGAUCUGGAGGUGCACAAGGAUGCCCGGUGUGCAGUGAAUAAGAUCAACAAUAGCACGGAUGCCCUCUAUCCCUCGUGGGAACCAAAUUCCUGCAGUUCCGCCGAUUUUGAUGCCUGGUGGCACGCCAGAUUCCAGAGUCUGCCGGCUUCUGUCACUGCUCUCAAAGUGCUUUUUGAUGGUUGGGAGAAUUGGCACACUUUUGCGGAUGGGGAUGCUAGAGCGCACCUGAUCCAGACCAUCAAAGAUAUCAAUGCGCAGAUCAUAGAAGGUAGACAUCUAAUUCUGUCUGUGAUUUUGUUCUGUCUUGGUUGUCGAUCUCUAACAUAUGUUCUGCCUGUUUUAGAUCCUUCUUUGACCAGCGUAGGUGGGCAAUCUGUUCAUGCUGGAGAAGUGAUUGGUAAGUCUUUUUCUUUUAGUUCUAUUCUAUCCCUUCCAGCUGGAUUGGUUUCUAAUGUCUAAUGCCUUGGUGCAGUCUCUUCUGUUAUUGCUGCCGGGGACUUGGAGCUCCCCUCUGCAGAUGAAGGAGAUGAGGUCCAGACAGAACAAACACCUGCCGAGGCCGCUCUUUCUGCCAGAAGAAAAAGGAAAGGGCCUGCCCUUCCUUCGGACAAUAUCAUUCGGCCUGGUAUUUCAGGUAAGCUCAUGAUGUUCCAACCAUUUUUUUAUUCUGUCUUGCCUUCUUUUCCCUAAUACUGCUUUUCUGUGCAGCUGGAAGUCCUUCCCCUCCUCCUACCAAGUUGAAAAAACUUAGAAAGAAGAGUGAGGAGGAGUAUGUCGCUGCAGAAGAAACGGCAGCAGUCCCCACCACUACCUCUAGGACGGAUGAAGAGCUGCGAGAGGCUUUUGAGGAGGUGGAGCAAGAAAAAGAAUUGGAAGAGCUGGAAGAAACGCCUCAGAACAAAACGGCAGUGGUGGAAGAAGAGGUAAGUUUUAUUUCGAUGAUUCGCAUCAGUUCCCUUCUUGCCCUGUUUCUUUCGUUCUGACCCCCAUUUUGUAGGAGGAGAUUCUUGCUGAGGUGAUUGCAGAGAGCAUUGCCUUGGCGCAGAAGCAACAAGGGGGUCCAAGGGCUGAGCUGACUAGCUCAGAACUAGCCCUAUUUGAGGAUGCCGAUGAGGAUGCCGAGGCAGAGCAUUCUACUGCCGUUCCAGCGGCUGAGGAUCAGGCGGAACGGUCUGCAUCAGACCCUGUGGACCAGGCAGAAUUAACUGUUGUGGUUCCGGAGGCUGAGGUGGGAACGACUGCAGCUGCUCCUGUGGUUGUGGUAAUUUUCCUCCUUGAUUGUUCAUGUUUUUCUGCUGUUCUGUCUGUUCUAACAGUUGUAGUCUUUCUAGGUGGAAGUGCCUAAGGCUACUGGUGCUCUGGCUGCGGUAUCCAGCCCCCUGAAACCUCCCAUUGUCGCUGUAAGUUUUCAUAACUUUUGAGCCUCCUUUAUCUUCCACUUUCUGCCUGGUCUUAACUUAUGUUCUCUUCUGCAGAUGCCUAUUCAUUCCUUUCCAGGAUCAUCUGCCACGGCUUCUUUUGCUGAUCCAGAGCUGGAAGAGUUUGAAGCCAUGGAUCUGGAUGCUCAACUGGAGAGGCUGGAGAAACUCAGCUCUCCUCCGAGCAAGGCAAAAUCUAGAGCAGUGCAAGAGGCCAUGGAGAGGUUAAGAAUCUGGCAGUCGACUGAGCUGGAAUUUGAUGAAGAUACAGGGGCUCUAGAUCAGCUGAUGAAGGACCUGGACCUGCUGCAUAGACAGAACAUGGCUCCGAGGCCUAUUCUUGAGAUGGGCCUAAGCCUGGCCAGAGAUGUGCUUAAUCUGCAUGAUCGCUAUGAAGAUCUUAGGCCUACGUUCAAAACUUCUGAGUUCUGUAAGGCCACACAUGAAGCCAAUCUGGCUGACUUUGCUAGGCAGAAAACAGAACUGGAUCAGAUGGUGGCCGGAUAUAAGGAGGCCAAGGCUACCGCGGAUAAGUUGGAGAAGCAGAUUGAAGAACUUCAAAAACAACUGGCAGAGUGUAGGGAGGUGCAGAACAAACUUGGGGCUGGACUGAGUUCGAAAACCAAAGCCACCUUCCUUGUGCAGAGAAUGGUUGCAGCUUCCAGGCCAGCUUUGGAAAUCGCAGAAGCCUCGAUUCAUCAAGGAGUGCUGCUCCAGAAAGAACUCUCUGUCAAGAAGGCGAAUCUGCAGGAAACCCUUAGAAAAUUAGGGUUUUAGUUUUUCAUUUCUGUUUAUUUAUUUUUUUGGACAAAUUUGCCGCUAUGGUGGCUAUUUUUAAAUAAAGUUUGUUCUGCUUUCCUUUUAAAUAGCAUUUUACUAUUUUCAUUUACCCUUGACGUAAUAAACAAAACAAUACUGUGAAAGUAGAAACGAAACAAUCUUUAAAGCAAAAAUGGAUUCAAAAAAAAAAAAAAGAAAAGUCAGCCUUGUUCUUUUUCUAUCCCGGGGUCUGUCUGUACAGCUUGUGAAUCCCACAUGGUUGGGUAGAAUUUUUUUAACCAUUUGCCAUUGAUUGGGACGUUGUGAAUAACUCCAUCUCUGUCCUGCAACCUGUUCACCCGUUUUCGUGUUUAACUCCUGAUGUGGAAGGGCGAAGUUCCCCACUGGCUUGGAGACCACUUGUUGGUCGACAAGUCAGCUUUCUUUGGUGUGCGAGCGUGCCACUGCUAGCAAUGUAAAUUCUAGCAGACUUAUUUUUAGAGUGGAUAACUUGCGCCUCAAGUUACUGACUUCUAAAACAAACGAUUGUGAAUUUGGGUAAGGAAUAUCUCCCAAGUAAGUUCUUUUCUUGCCUCAGACUGGUGAGGACUUUCACAAUUUAUCUCAGUACCAAAAAAUGGUUGUUCUGCCCAGAAUAGAUAAUAAUAAAGUACUGUUUCAGGCAGAACUGCCUUUUACAAAAUUAAGAAGGGAGAAAUCAACUCUAGGAAGGCAAAAGGAUGGCUGGAAUCCCAUUUCUGCCUGGGUAGAAACUUCUGAUCCGGGCUGGACUGGGUAUGUCUAUGCUGGACUGUACUGUCAACAACUUUAGCUGCUUGGCUUCAGCUGUAAAUCGAUACCAAAGUUCGAUUUUGGCAGAGCUUCAAUCUACUUCAAGCCUUGGGAGGCUCUUGAGCGGGCAGAACUGUGACUUCUUCAGUCUGAAGGGACAAAAGUGGCUAUUCUCGAGGAUUUAGCAAGCUGGAACCAUGCUGUAAAAUUUGUUGAGGUUUUCAUAGUUGUGAAAACUCAAACUAUGUUUGUCUUGGCUUUUGCUGAACCAAAUUUGUAACGAGGGAUCUCGUUCUAGGAAAUUUGUUUUCUAAGUCUGAACCUUGGAAUUCUGAUUUAAGGUUGGUUUCUCUUGGAAUUUAAGUGAGCUCUUGGCUGUUUUUCUUGCUGUUGUUUUUUUGGUUGAUGAGUUGAGUGUCCUUUCUUUCUUGCCUGCUUCUGUUUUUAUAAGAGACCCUCCUUUUGAAGGUGGUUUUAAAUUUUAAUAAUGGGCGGCAAAAGAUUUCUCAAAACGUAAAGUAGGAAAGAUUUUUAUCAAUUAUGGCAGAUAGACUCCCAGUGGUCACUUCCUAUAGCGAUCCCUUCCCUGGUUUCCUGGCUGACGGUUUUUCUAUUUUAAUGCCACCGUCUGUGUGAGCUGAUCCUAUGGCGGUUUUGAUUUUUCUUUUGUAUUUUCUGAACAACUCCCUGUUUCUUGCUCUUGAAAACGUGAUUUGCGAAAUCUUUUUAGAAGAUGGUGUGUUGCUUUGGAGCAAAAAGUCUCUGAUCAUAGACGCCCCUUUGAUUUUUCUUUCUCGGCUGUUUUCAGAAACGUCCCUUCUCACAUAAAAACUCUAGUUGGAAUUGCUGACUUUCCAGAGAGGUGAGGUAGCCACGUGAAUGUGUCUUUAGUCUCUUGGGCUUGAGUUUAAACAAUAUUUUGUGGGCUGAUCUUCAAAGGCCCAAUAUGACAGCUUUCUACGUUUUGGGUUUUUUGGGACUGGAUAAGUAUUUCACCACGGGCCUGUUUCUGGAUCUCUUUGGUGUGUCAAAUUUAGGCCCAAACAAUGCCCCCAUUAAGUCUGAACUUGUUUUUGGAACGGUUUUUCAGACUUAAUGGGUUUUGCCAUGAAUUUGCGCGCCAGUCCUUUCCGCUUCGUGCGUCUGUCACGUCCGCCCAUAAUGAUCUAGAGUUCGUGGGAGAAGAAAAACGGCUAUUUAUUUGGCUAGUUACUAGCCAAUAAUCACCAGCUGCCGUAUCUUCUUCUUCCUCUCACGUUUCGAGCCUUCCCUUUUAAAAAGAAAUUUCAGACCCACUGCCUCUUAGCCUUUCAAACUUGGAACUUCUCUUCGGGUUUUCAUCGUUUCCUUCGAACUUCCCCCUUUUCUCUCUGCUUCCUUCCUUGAAUCCGAAAUGUCUUCCCUAAGGUCCCAUGCUCAGUCUUCUUCAGCUUCAAUCCCUCCUGAUUACAUCACUGGGAGCGGGAUUGAUGCCCACGCAAUAGAGGUUAGGAGCAAGCUCCAUCCUUUUGCUCAGAAGAAUCUGGAUGAAAAUGUUCUUCAUUUGUUCUAGAAUACCCUGGUGCUGGGGUCUCACUGGUUUGGCCCUGUUCCGGCUGAGGCGGCAGAACUGCUGAAAAAGGACGCCGAGGCUCCUUUGUGCUUCGAGAGUACUUCCGCCCUGGCUUCUCAUUCUUGGGUUAGCAAGAAUUUGAGUCGAUCUUUCCCGUCCAGCGAGGUGAGGAACAGUCCAGUCAAAUGGGCAGACUGGAUUGACAGACUUCUCCCGAGAUAUGGGGGUCACUGGAGGAGAGCUGGGCUCUAUGACGCCAUUCUUCUGUCCAAGCAGUCGAUUAACAGAGAUGAGAACCUGCUUGCUGCUGCCUUGUGUUUUUGGAAUUCUGCCAGCAACACAUUUGAUUUCCGUGUGGGUCCCAUGGCUCCAACUCUGCUGGACAUGGCUCAGAUUUUUGGGUUUAGGCCCCAUGGCAGACCUGUUGAUGCUGUUGGGGAUUAUCACAGGCGAAAGAACCAAGAGAAAGUGGCCACUCCCUUCACUAUCCCUCCAGCCACGAUCAACCAGAACUGCUCCUUCUCCAACUAUCUGAAGAGAUUCAGCGCUGAGAAGGACAAGGAUCAGCAACAUAUGUUGUUCCUUCUGUAUUGGCUGAACCGAUUUGUCUUCCCCAAUCGGUCUUCGGCAGUUCUGCUUGAAUACAGACAUCUGGCAGAAGCACUUCACAAUCACACUGAUGUGGGGCUUGGACCAACAGUUCUGGCCCACCUUUUCAAGAAUCUGUAUACUGCCACUCUUGAGAAUCCAUUGAACCUGUCUGCUCCUGGCGCAUUCUGGAUGAUCCAGAUCUGGCUGCAGGUAUAUUUCCCCGAGUUAAGGUUUCCAGACAUAGUUCUGCCUGAAGACCAAGUUCUGGCCCUUCCCCUGAUAUCGGCAGAAGUGCCCAAGCGCUCUCUUGAGGAGUAUUUGAUGCUCUUCAGGCAUUGUACCAAGAGGUCGGCUGCUCAGUGGCAAGUGGUGAUCAGAAGGACCUAUCCUUGGUUCCAGACUGGAUCUCGGCUUUUCGAGAAAGAACCAGAAGACGAGGCUGCCAGAACAGAUUUCAGGAAGAAAUUUCUGAGCAUUACUUCGCCCAGAGAUCUGCCCCAUGGCGGGGGCAAACCUCCAAACUAUCAUCUGGGGGCAGAAGUCUAUCAUCCCAACUUUUGUGCAAGGCAGCUUGGCUGCCCUCAGCUCAUACCGUUGAAAUCAUAUCGGAGUUGCAAUCGGGCCUCUUCUUGGAGGGAUGUAGAUGAUCUGGAGGUGCACAAGGAUGCCCGGUGUGCAGUGAACAAGAUAAAUAAUAGCACGGAUGCCCUCUAUCCCUCAUGGGAGCCAAAUUCCUGCAGUUCUGCUGAUUUUGACGCCUGGUGGCAAACCAGAUUCCAAAAUCUACCAGCUUCUGUUACUGCCCUCAAGACGCUUUUUGACGGUUGGGAGAACUGGCAUCUUUUUGCGGAGGGGGAGGCCAAAGUGCAUAUGAUCCAGACCAUCAAGGACAUUAAUGCACAAAUCAUAGAAGGUAGAUACUUGAUUCUGUCUGGGACUUGUUCUGUCUUGAUAAUCUAUUUUUAACCUAUGUUCUGCCUGUUAUUAGAUCCUUCCCUGACAAAGAACGUGGGUGGACAGUCUGUCCAGGCUGGAGAAGUGAUUGGUAAGCCUUUCCUUUUUAAUUUUCUUCUGUCUUUUCCUGUUGGAUUGGCUUUUAACCUCUAACUGCUUGGUGCAGUCUCUUCUGUCAUUGCCGCCGGGGAUUUGGAGCUCCAUUCUGCUGAUGAAGAGGAUGAUGUUGAGGCAGAACAAACCCCUGCCGAGGCUGUUCCUUCUGGUAGAAGAAAAAGAAAAGGGCCUGCUCCCCCUCUGGAUAAUACCGCGCGGCCUGGCAUUCCUGGUAAGUUUGGAGCAUUCCAACUGUUCUCUUUGGAUUUAUUCUGUUUUCUCUUUUCUAAUCUUUUCCUUUUGUUCUGUCCAGCUGGGAGUCCUUCUCCUCCUCCUACUAAGUUAAAAAAGCUUAAGAAGAGGGGUGAAGUGGAAUACUUUGCCGCAGAAGAAGCCGCAGCAAUCCCAGCCACUACUUCUGGGACGGACGAUGAGCUGCGAGAAGCCUUUGAGGAGGUGGAGCAGGAAAAAGAGCUGCAAGAGCUGGAGGAGGUGCCCCAAGAGAAGGUGGCAGCGGUGGAAGACGAGGUGAGUUUUAGUCUGUGACUCGCAUUAGUUCCUCUUUUGCUUCAUUCCUUCUGUUCUGACCCCCUUCUUGUAGGAUGAAAUUCCUGCUGAGGUGAUAGCGGAGAGCAUUGCCUUGGCGCAGAAGCAACAAAAGGGUCCGAGUGCUGAGCUGACCAGCUCAGAACUGGCUCUUUUUGAGGAUGCUGAGGCAGAACACUCUACUGCCGCUCCAGAGGCCGAGGAUCAGGUGGAGCCAUCUGCAUCAGACCCCGUGGAUCAGGCAGAAUUAACCGUUGUGGUCCCGGAGGCUGAUGUGGGAACGACUGCAGCUGCUCCUGUGGUUGUGGUAAUUUUCCCCUUCAACUGUUCAUGUUUUCCUGCUGUUCUGUCUGUUCUGUCUUUUUAACAUUUGCAGUCUUUCCAGGUGGAAGUGCCUAAAGCUGCUGGUGCCCUGGCUGCGGUGUCCAGCCCUCUGAAGCCUCCCAUUGUCGCUGUAAGUUUUCAUAACUUUUGAGCCUCCUUUAUCUUCCACUUUCUGCCUGGUCUUAGCUUAUGUUCUCUUCUGCAGAUGCCUAUUCAUUCCUUUCCAGGAUCAUCUGCCACGGCUUCUUUUGCUGAUCCAGAACUUGAAGAGUUUGAAGCCAUGGAUCUGGAUGCCCAAUUGGACAGACUGGAGAAACUCAGCUCUCCUCCAGGCAAGGCAAAAUCUAGGGCGGUGGAGGAAGCCAUGGAGAGGUUGAAAAUCUGGCAGUCCACUGAGCUGGAAUUUGAUGAAGAUACAGGGGCUCUUGAUCAGCUGAUGAAGGACCUGGACCUGCUGCAUAGACAGAACAUGGCUCCGAGGCCUAUUCUUGAGAUGGGCCUAAGCCUGGCCAGAGAUGUGCUUAAUCUGCAUGAUCGCUAUGAAGAUCUUAGGCCUACGUUCAAAACUUCUGAGUUCUGCAAGGCCACACAUGAAGCUAAUCUGGCUGACUUUGCCAGGCAGAAAACAGAACUGGAUCAGAUGGUGGCUGGAUAUAAGGAGGCUAAGGCUACCGCGGAUAAGUUGGAGAAGCAGAUUGAAGAACUCCAAAAACAGCUGGCAGAGUGUAGGGAGGUGCAGAACAAACUUGGGGCUGGACUGAGUUCCAAAACUAAGGCCACCUUCCUUGUGCAAAGUAUGGUUGCAGCUUCUAGGCCAGCUUUGGAAAUUGCAGAGGCUUCAAUUCACCAGGGGGUGUUGCUCCAGAAAGAACUGUUUGUCAAGAAAGCGAACCUACAGGAGACUCUUAGAAAGCUAGGAUUUUAGCUUCUUCUUUCUUUUGUUCGAAUAAUUUGCCGCAAAGGUGGCUAUUUUUAUAUAAGCUUUCAAAGCAUUUUUACUGCUUUUUAUUCUUGAUGCAAUAACCGGACACGGUUUUGAAAGUACAGUAAAAACAGAACAACAUUAAAGUAAAAACAAAUCUAAACAAGAUUCCCUUUCAAGAAACAAAAAGGUCAAUCUUCUUCCUCUUCUAUCCCAGGAUCCGUUUGUACAGCCUGUGAAUCCCACAUGGUUGGAUAGAACUUCUUUAACCAUUUACCAUUGAUUGGGGCAAAGUGAACAACUCCAUCUCGGUCCUGCAACCUAUAUGCCCCCAUUCCGAGGAUUUGGUUAAUUAUAAAAGGGCCUUCCCAGGUAGGUGACCACUUCCCAUACCCAGCUAUGUGUGCUCCAAGGGGCAGAAUUGCCUUCCAGACUAUCUCUCCCUCUUCAAAACUCUUGUUUUUGACUCUUUUGUUGUAGGCUCUCGAUACAGCCUGUUUUCCUGCUAAGAGUUUGUUGAGGGUGUCAAUUCUGCUUGCAUCCAAUCCUUCCAAUUCCAGUAACAUGGCUUGAGAGUAAUCCUCCCCAGUGAGACCAUGCUGGUGAGCAAUUCUAAGAGACUGGACUGCUAUCUCCAUGGGAAGAAUUGCAUCGUGGCCGUAGGUUAGAGCAUAGGGGGUCAUGCCAGUCGCUUCUCUCUUCGAAGUUCUGUAUGCCCACAAAGUUUCUGACAACUUCUCGUGCCAUUGCUUUGGAUUUUUCUCUAGCAUCUUUCUAAUGAUAUUGAUAAUCACCUUGUUACUUGAUUCUGCCUGUCCAUUAGCUUGAGCAUAGUAAGGAGUAGAUUGAAGCAGUUUGAACUUGAAUGUUUCUGCCAUAUCUAGCAUGUCCCUAGAUAUGAAAGAAGAACCCCUAUCGGUUGUGAUUGAUUCUGGAAUGCCAAACCUUUGUAUGAUCUGUUCUUCUAUGAAGGUGAUGAUCUCUUGAGAUGUUGUGGUUUUUACUGGCUUGGCUUCUACCCACUUGGUGAAAUAAUCUGUGGCAACGAUGAUGAAACAGUGCUGCUGGUUGCUGGCUGGAUAGAUUUUGCCAAUGAGAUCCAUUGCCCAUCCCCUGAAAGGCCAUGGUUUUACUACUGGAUUCAUGGGAACCGAAGGAGCCUGCUGGAUUGGGCCGUGCCUUUGACAGGCUUCACAUCCUUUGGAAUAGUCGAUGCAAUCCUUCAUCAUGGUUGGCCAGAAGUAGCCAUAUCUUCUGAUUAACCAGCACAUCUUUCUUCCCCCUUGGUGAGCUCCACAGACCCCAUCAUGGGUUUCUCCCAUGACUUUCAUGUAUUCUGUCUUCCCGAGGCACCUUAAUAGUACCUCAUCCUUACUUUUUCGGACCAAAUCUUCAUUCCACAUGAGGUAGUUUGUAGCCAUGAUUCUGACUCUUUUCUCAGAGGGCAGAGUGGGAUAUCGUAAGUAAGUCAUGAUAGGCUCCCUCCAAUCAUCUCCAGUGAUCGAGGCAGAAUUGACUUCUAUCUCCAUUCCUCUCGUCAAAACAGAUGGUAGACUUUUCCUUCCUAUCUUGAUGAUCCUUUGGACGCAGUCUUCGGGCAUUUGUAUGCCUGAUGCCACCUGAGCCAGUUCAUUGGCUGCAAAGUUUUUCUCCCUUGGGAUGUGCUCCCAAGUAGCUUCUCUAAAUUCAGACACUUAUAUUCUCCAGCAAUCUGUUUUAGGACAAGCAUGGAAUCUCCCAAGAUUUCCACGGACUGGACUCCUAAUUCUACCAACAUUUCGAGCCCUAUAAUCAAAGCCUCAUAUUCGGCCCUGUUGUUGGUGCAUUGGAAAUCUAGCUGGAAAGAAUAGCAAUGCCUGACCCCUAAUGGUUCUUCCAGAACAAUCCCUGCUCCGGAAGCCUUGUCUGUCUUCGAUCCAUCAAAAUAUAAUUUCCAAGGUGUGAGAUGAAUCGAGUAAAUUGGAUUGUUAAGGCAAACAUGAGCUCUAGUUAACAGAUCUGCAUUUGCAAUGUCCAAAGAAUCCAUGUUUUCAAUUUCCUCUCCCGGGUGAUCUGCCAAAAAGUCUGCCACAGCUUGCCCUUUGACAGCUUUCUGGGGGACAUACCUCAGGGUGAAUUCUGUCAAAGCCAAAGUCCAUUUCCCAAUUCUGCCCCUCAGCAUUGGUCUUGUUAGCAUGUAUUUGAUUAAGUCGGUUUUGGCAAUGAUGUAGAUAGUAUGUGGCAGCAUGUAGUGCCUGAGCUUCACAGCAGUGAAAUAUAAGGCUAGGCAAAGCCUUUCUAUUGCGGAAUACCUUCUUUCCACUUCUGUCAACGUUCUGCUUAGAUAGUAGACCGCCUGUUCUUUUCCUUCUUUGUUAUCUUGAACUAGCAGACUUCCAAUGGAUACUUCUGAUGCAGAUACAUAAAGUUUGAAGGGUCUGCCCCUUUUUGGUGGGGACAGAACUGGUGGAUUUGAGAGGUAAUGCUUUAUUUCCUGGAAAGCCUGUUGGUGCUGUUCUUCCCAUUUGAAUGUCUGUUCCUGCUUCAGUCUCAACAGGGAGGAAAAGGGUUGGAUUUUUCCUGCAGAAUUGGAUAUGAAUCUCCUUAGGAAAUUGAUUUUUCCUAAGAGACUCUGAAGUUCCUUCUUGUUCCGAGGUGGUAGAGCUUCUAUGAUGGAUUUUGCUUUAUUUCUGUCAACCUCUAUACCUCUCUGGUGGACCAAGAAUCCUAAGAAAUUCCCUGCCUGGACUCCAAAAACACAUUUUUUGGGGUUCAUUUUUAGCUUGUGCUGCCUCAUUCUCAGGAAUGCCUUUCUCAGACUUGCUACGUGAUUUCCUUCCUCAGGGGAUUUAAUCACCACGUCAUCUAUGUAUACUUCCAAAGAAUGUCCUAUCAUAUCAUGAAAAAUAGAAUUCAUUGCCCUUUGGUAGGUAGCUCCCGCAUUUCUCAAACUGAAAGGCAUUACAGUAUACUCGAAAGCACCUAUAUGUCCUGGACACAUAAAGGCUGUCUUGUGGAUGUCCUGUUCUGCCAUCAUAAUCUGGUUAUAACCUGCAUUGCCGUCCAUGAAAGAUAGCAUCUGGUUAUGAGCGGCUCCAUCCACUAACAUGGCUGCCAUUGGCAUAGGAUAUUCGUCUUUAGGAGAUGCCUCAUUCAGAUUCCUGUAAUCUACGCAGAUUCUAACUGCCCCUGUUUUUCUUUUGAGAACAGGUACAAUAUUUGCUAACCAAUCGGCAUAGACGGCUGGCCUGAUGAAUCCUGCCUUGAGCAACCUUCCUAUCUCUUCUUUGACCUUUAGUUCUGUGUCCAUAGACAUUCUUCUUCUGGCCUGUUUGACUGGAAGGUAGCCAUCUUUAAUUGGCAGCUUGUGCUCCACUAACUGCCUGUCUAAUCCUGGCAUCUCGUGGUAAUGCCAGGCAAAACAAUCUCUGAACUCCUGCAAAAGUGCCGUGAGUUCAGCCUUGAGUGGUUCCUUUAACAGUGUACUGAUGAAAGUAGGCCUUGGAUCUUCUUCUGUCCCUAAGUUUAUCUCCUGUAGAGGGUCCUCUACUUCUGGCAGGGAGUCAUCUAGUGCUGCCGGUGCAAAUUCCAACACUUCCUCCUGUAAAACUUCUUCCUCUUGUUCUUUUAUGCUUUCAUGGGUGAAUUCUGCCAUAUUAAUGGCUGGAUUCUGUAUGAAAAGUCUCCUUUCUCCCCAGUAUAUCAACAAUCUUUUUGUGAUGGAUCGGAUUGUUGCAGCUCGAUCCUUGUCCAGUUGAUUGGGACUAAACAUCAGAAUUCUGGAAGUUCGGCACAAGAAAGUCUAUUCCAGUCCUCUAGAGAACUGGCUAGACCUUCUUCAAUGAGUCUUUGGGCCGUGACACCAUGGGGGCGGCCGUUCUGAUUGACUCCAAGGAAAGUGUAGGGACCGAGGUCAUCAUGAUAAUACCUUGCUUCAAAGCACAUGGCAGAGGGUAGGAAUGGCCGUGGAUCGGCCUCUAUAAUCUCCAUGCAGCCUUCUUCAUUCCAUAUUGCUAACUGCUGGUGGAGGGUGGAAGGGAUACAAAGGCUCUGGUGAAUCCAAUCCCUGCCGAGUAGUGCAUUGUAGGUGGUGGAGGUAGUGUCUAUAACAAAGAAUGCUAUUUUCAACUCUUUGCUUCCGACUACGACAUCUACAUCUAAGAUGCCGUGUAUUUUGGUGAUGCCCCCAGCGAAGUUGGUGACGGUUAAUCGUGUUGGAAUUAGAUCCCUCUCUGUCCUGCCCAACUUGGUCAGCAUUGUGUGGGGUAAUAGAUUAAUGGCUGCACCUCCAUCUACCAUGAUCUUGGAGAUAGGAAUACCUCCAAGAUUUGCCGUUAUAAACAACGGUCUGAGGUGAUUUUCCAUUUCUCUGGUUGGCUUGGCGAAACAAGCCUGCUCUGUAGCUGGUUUAUUGGCUGUUCUGCCUGUCCUAGGGUCGUCUGCUUGCGGUUCUGGCGGCUCCUCUGCUUCUGCCAACCUACACUCAAAGCUCUCCUGGGAGAAAACGUCCCCUUCCAGAGUGCUUUUUUGUCCUUCGGUAGCCCUGAAUUCACCUGGUAGGAUGAAUACCAUGUUAAUUCCCAGAUCACCCUGUAGGAGGUCUUCUAAUUCUGCGCCAAAAGCUUCUGUUUCUGGGUCCAAUUCCUCACCAAAUUCCAUUAAUUCUUCCCCAUAUUCUUCCGUCCAGUCAUCCUGUUCUGCUACUUCGAGGGGCUCUUUCUGAUCAUCUGCAGAAGGUUCAUAGUCUAAUUGCUCUUCUUCAUAUUCCUCAGCGUAGUCGUCUUCUUUUUGUAACGGGGUAGACCCGGAUUUCUCUAAUGUCCGCGUGGUGUCAGGAUGGCUGCCGGACGACGAGGCUAUAUGGAUAGGAGACCUGGCUGGCUGCUCUGUUUUCAGCAAUUCCCUUGACUGGCAGGCUUUCUGUUCCGUCUGGGGAAGUGUUUCAGGAUUCUUUCCUUUCCUGGCAGAACUGGGUUGUGAACGUACCUGCGUAUUGUCUUGGCUUUUAAGAUAUGUGCAGUAUUGCCUCUGGAUUCUUCUUUUCUGGGUUCUGGUCAGCUCCAGAGUCGGUCUACCGCUUCUUCCUACGGAAUACCACCUCCCUUCUAUGAUCGUUGCCAAGGGUCUUUCGUUUCCGGGCGUCUUGACUGAUAUUUCCUUCCUGGGUUGCUCCAUCCUCCUCUCGCCGUAGUGUGUAGGCCUAAGACAGCUCUUCUGCCUUGUCUUGUCUUGGGAUAUAGUUCCAAUUCUGUCAAAGACACUAGGUGUGGGCUGAUUUUGUUUGUCUAGGACCACCUCUAGCUCUGUUUCACACUUGCACCUACUGCAGAGCACCACCCCAGCCGAGAUGGUCGCUCUUGGUAUCUGACUGGUCUCCCUUAUGAUUCUUCUGCCUCUGCUGCAACCAGCAUCUGUGAUAGGGUCGGUUUUCCUCUGUUCUGGCCAAUUUAAGUUGACCAUAUUGACUUGCGGUUGAGGAAAAGGAUCCGUCGUGACGGAUGGUGGUUUUUCUGCCAACUUCAACCUUCCUGCCGUUAUUCCUUCUUGUACUACGUCCCUGAAAACGACACAACUAUUGGUAGAAUGGUUCCAAGAGUUGUGCCACCUGCAGUACUGUCUGCCUUUGAGUUCUUCCGGCUUCGGUAUUCUGUGAGGCGUCUCUAUUACCUUCUGCAGUAGCAUUUCGUCGAACAAGGCAUUGACCUUGGUUAAGUCAAAAGAGUAAACCUUGUUUUGUGUUGGUUUGUUUGGAACGAAUCCUCCUGUGAAUGGUGGUGGCUUUUGGUCUUUGGGUGGCUUUGUGAGGGCUUUGCAACUGAUGGGAUGUUUCAGUUUUGCCAUUUCUGCCACUGAAACCUCUUUCUCCUCUGAUUCCUCUGUAUCUUCUUGCGACUCCACCUCGAUCAGGUGGACUGAAGAAGAAGGGGUUUUGUAGUAUGUACCUUUGGAGGAGUUCCUCCUUUGCUGCUCUUCCCUGAGUAGCUCUUCAUAUUUGGAUGCCUUAUCAGCCAGUUCUGCCAGAUCUCCGAACAAUAUCCCGUCGAACCUUUUCCUGAGGGAGAUUUUAAGGGCGGCUUGGGCCAUCUGGAUGAAGUGUCUUUCUUCCAUUGGGAUUCGGCACUUCAUCUUGAGCCUUCUGAACCUGGUUAUAAAAUCUUGCGCCGGUUCAUCUUCACUCUGCUUGAGGGCAGCUAGAUCACUGAUGGUGACUUCUGGCUGAAUCCUGUAAUAGUAGUCAUGGAAGACAUUUUCCAUCUGUUCCCAGGUUUGAACAGAGUUAGCUGGCAGGCUGGUGUACCAGGUAAAAGCUUGCCCAGAGAGAGAGUUGCCAAAAAGCCUUAAUUUCAGCAGAGGGUUGUUUUCUAUAGCUAUGCAUUGGACGGAGAACCUGCCUAUAUGUUCGACUGAGGAAGCAUGGGGGUCUUCCCCGUUGAACAAAGUGAAGUUUGGCACUUUGAAACCUGGAGACAACGGUAUUUGAUCGAUGUAGGCUGGGUAUGGCUUUCUGUAAGUAGGCCUUUCCCCUCUUCUAGCCUCGGGUUCCAUGAUCUCUCUGACCAUUCUUCGCAAUGCCCCUACGUCAUUUAAAGCAUUGACUGGGGGAAAAUUUUGUCCCUGUUCUGGCUGAACGUAAUCAAACCUGGGUUCUGCCCUGAGUGGUCUGGGUGGAACUUCCUCCCUGUGUUCUUCCUGCUCUUCGACUUCUGGAUGAUUCCUCCAGUUUGCCCCCUGUCUAUUCCUGUCAUGAUUAGCAAAAAGGUUGUUUCCCCCUCGGGCUCUCCUCCCUCUUGCAGGUGGAGGGAAUGGAUUAGGGUCCAUCCUUCUGGGUCUAUAUGGCAAUACUGCCGGUGGUUCAGGCAGAAGCGCCAAAGGUUGAUCAUGCGGGGCUGCAUGAUGUGAAUUGGGCUGAGGUCCUAGCUGGUUCUGAGCCAGUGUCAGGUUAUCUGGCUGGGCUGGGGCCUGAUGUUCUUGAUUAGGAAGGGCUCUCUCCCUCGGAUCAGCCUGAACUUCUGUGUGGCCUGGCACUCCAGCCAUCUGUGCAACUAGAGGAUUUUCCUGAUAUGGCCAUAUUAGUCCUGGCGGAGGGCCAUAAGGAAGAUCCAACUGCUGGAUUACAGGAUCUGGGUUUGGAUUUCUGGCCAUGGCGGAUUCUCGGUCCUUCCGGAACUGUCUGUUUACCUGCCAUUGCAUCAUGGCUGUCAUGUUAUCGAGAGUGUCCUGGCUCCUUUGUACUGUGAUCUCUUGUCGGAGUACUGACUCCUUUAUUUGACUCAUCCUUUUGGAGCCAGUCCUGGAACGUCUGCUUCCUGUACUGUCGUGGGCAGACUGCCUAGCGUCGCUUUCUUCCGAUUCGAGGCCUUCUCUGAGAACCAUCUUGUUUUUCUCCAUGUCUGGUGUGGGUUCUGACUAGAUCUUCCGGCUUUUGUAAAUCUGUGAAUGACUCUGUCAGAGUAUGUAUACUGAGAAGUCCCACUGGGCGUGCCAAAUUGUUCACCCGUUUUCGUGUUUAACUCCUGAUGUGGAAGGGCGAAGUUCCCCACUGGCUUGGAGACCACUUGUUGGUCGACAAGUCAGCUUUCUUUGGUGUGCGAGCGUGCCACUGCUAGCAAUGUAAAUUCUAGCAGACUUAUUUUUAGAGUGGAUAACUUGCGCCUCAAGUUACUGACUUCUAAAACAAACGAUUGUGAAUUUGGGUAAGGAAUAUCUCCCAAGUAAGUUCUUUUCUUGCCUCAGACUGGUGAGGACUUUCACAAUUUAUCUCAGUACCAAAAAAUGGUUGUUCUGCCCAGAAUAGAUAAUAAUAAAGUACUGUUUCAGGCAGAACUGCCUUUUACAAAAUUAAGAAGGGAGAAAUCAACUCUAGGAAGGCAAAAGGAUGGCUGGAAUCCCAUUUCUGCCUGGGUAGAAACUUCUGAUCCGGGCUGGACUGGGUAUGUCUAUGCUGGACUGUACUGUCAACAACUUUAGCUGCUUGGCUUCAGCUGUAAAUCGAUACCAAAGUUCGAUUUUGGCAGAGCUUCAAUCUACUUCAAGCCUUGGGAGGCUCUUGAGCGGGCAGAACUGUGACUUCUUCAGUCUGAAGGGACAAAAGUGGCUAUUCUCGAGGAUUUAGCAAGCUGGAACCAUGCUGUAAAAUUUGUUGAGGUUUUCAUAGUUGUGAAAACUCAAACUAUGUUUGUCUUGGCUUUUGCUGAACCAAAUUUGUAACGAGGGAUCUCGUUCUAGGAAAUUUGUUUUCUAAGUCUGAACCUUGGAAUUCUGAUUUAAGGUUGGUUUCUCUUGGAAUUUAAGUGAGCUCUUGGCUGUUUUUCUUGCUGUUGUUUUUUUGGUUGAUGAGUUGAGUGUCCUUUCUUUCUUGCCUGCUUCUGUUUUUAUAAGAGACCCUCCUUUUGAAGGUGGUUUUAAAUUUUAAUAAUGGGCGGCAAAAGAUUUCUCAAAACGUAAAGCAGGAAAUAUUUUUAUCAAUUAUGGCAGAUAGACUCCCAUUGGUCACUUCCUAUAGCGAUCCCUUCCCUGGUUUCCUGGCUGACGGUUUUUCUAUUUUAAUGCCACCGUCUGUGUGAGCUGAUCCUAUGGCGGUUUUGAUUUUUCUUUUGUAUUUUCUGAACAACUCCCUGUUUCUUGCUCUUGAAAACGUGAUUUGCGAAAUCUUUUUAGAAGAUGGUGUGUUGCUUUGGAGCAAAAAGUCUCUGAUCAUAGACGCCCCUUUGAUUUUUCUUUCUCGGCAGUGUUUUCAGAAACGUCCCUUCUCACAUAAAAACUCUAGUUGGAAUUGCUGACUUUCCAGAGAGGUGAGGUAGCCACGUGAAUGUGUCUUUAGUCUCUUGGGCUUGAGUUUAAACAAUAUUUUGUGGGCUGAUCUUCAAAGGCCCAAUAUGACAGCUUUCUACGUUUUGGGUUUUUUGGGACUGGAUAAGUAUUUCACCACGGGCCUGUUUCUGGAUCUCUUUGGUGUGUCAAAUUUAGGCCCAAACACAACCUAUAUGCCCCCAUUCCGAGGAUCUGGUUAAUCACAAAAGGACCUUCCCACGUAGGUGACCAUUUUCCAUAUCCAGCUAUGUGCGCUCCAGCGGCAAAAUUGCCUUCCAGACUAUUUCUCCUUCUUCAAAACUCUUAUCUCUGACUCUUUUGUUGUAUGCCUUUGACACAGCCUGUUUUCCUGCUAAGAGUUUGUUGAGGGUGUCAAUCCUGCUUGCAUCCAAUUCUUCUAAUUCAAGUAGCAUGGCUUGAGAGUAAUCUUCUCCUGUGAGAUCGUGCUGGUGAGCAAUUCUAAGAGACUGGACUGCUAUCUCCAUGGGCAGAAUUGCAUCAUGACCGUAGGUCAGAGCAUAGGGAGUCAUGCCAGUUGCUUCCCUUUUUGAAGUUCUGUAUGCCCACAAAGUUUCUGACAACUUCUCAUGCCACUGCUUCGGAUUCUUCUCCAGCAUCUUUCUGAUGAUAUUGAUAAUCACCUUGUUACUUGAUUCUGCCUGUCCAUUAGCUUGAGCAUAAUAGGGGGUAGAUUGAAGCAGUUUGAACUUGAAUGUUUCUGCCAUAUCUAGCAUAUCCCUAGACAUGAAAGAAGAACCCCUAUCAGUUGUGAUCGAUUCUGGAAUGCCGAAUCUCUGUAUGAUCUGCUCUUCUAUAAAGGUGAUGAUCUCUUGAGAAGUUGUGGUUUUGAUUGGCUUGGCUUCUACCCAUUUGGUGAAAUAGUCUGUAGCAACAAUGAUAAAACAAUGCUGCUGGCUGCUGGCUGGAUAGAUUUUGCCAAUGAGAUCCAUUGCCCAUCCCCUAAAAGGCCAUGGUUUCACCACUGGAUUCAUGGGAACUGAAGGAGCCCGCUGGAUUGGGCCGUGUCUUUGACAAGCUUCACAUCCCUUGGAAUAGUUGAUGCAAUCCUUCAACAUGGUUGGCCAGAAGUAGCCAUACCUUCUAAUUAACCAGCACAUCUUUCUUCCUCCUUGGUGAGCCCCACAGACCCCUUCAUGGGUUUCUCCCAUGACUUUCAUAUAUUCUGUCUUUCCGAGGCACCUUAAUAGCACCUCAUCCUCACUUUUUCGGACCAAAUCUUCAUUCCACAUGAGAUAGUUUGUAGCCAUGAUUCUGACUCUUUUCUCAGAGGGUAGAGUGGGAUACUGCAAGUAAGUCAUGAUCGGCUCCCUCCAAUCGUCUUUAGUGAUCAAGGCAGAAUUGACUUCUAUCUCCAUUCCUCUAGUCAGAACUGACGGUAGACUUUUCCUUCCUAUCUUGAUGAUCCUCUGGACGCAGUCUUCAAGCAUUUGUAUGCCUGAUGCUACCUGAGCCAGUUCAUUGGCUGCGAAGUUUUCUUCCCUUGGGAUGUGUUCCCAAGUAGCUUCUCUAAAUUCUGUUAGCAGAUUUCUAGCUGCUACCAGAUAUACAGCCAGAGAAGGAUUUAGACACUUGUAUUCUCCAGCAAUCUGUUUUAGGACAAGCAUGGAAUCUCCCAAGAUUUCCACGGAUUGAAUUCCCAAUUCUACCAACAUCUCGAGCCCUAUAAUCAAAGCUUCAUACUCGGCCCUGUUGUUGGUGCAUUGGAAAUCUAACUGGAAGGAAUAGCAAUGUCUGACCCCUAAGGGUUCUUCUAGCACAAUCCCUGCUCCUGAAGCCUUGUCUGUCUUUGUUCCAUCAAAAUAUAAUUUCCACGGUAUGAGAUGAAUCGAGUAGACUGGAUGGUUAAGGCAAACGUGAGCUCUAGUUAGCAGAUCUGCAUUUGCUAUGUCCAAAGAAUCCAUGUUUUCAAUUUCCUCUCCCGGGUGUUCUGCCAAGAAAUCUGCCACAGCUUGUCCUUUGACAGCUUUCUGGGGAACAUACCUGAGGGUGAAUUCUGUCAAAGCCAAAGUCCAUUUCCCAAUUCUGCCCCUCAGCAUUGGUUUUGUUAGCAUGUAUUUGAUUAGGUCUGUUUUGGCAAUGAUGUAAAUAGUAUGUGGCAGCAUGUAGUGCCUGAGCUUUACAGCAGUGAAAUAUAAGGCCAGGCAAAGCCUUUCUAUCGCGGAAUACCUUCUUUCCACUUCUGUCAAUGUUCUGCUUAGAUAGUAGACUGCCUGUUCUUUCCCUUCUUUGUUAUCUUGAGCUAGCAGACUUCCAAUGGAUACCUCUGAUGCAGAUACAUAAAGCUUGAGGGGUCUGCCCCUUUUUGGUGGGGACAGAACUGGCGGAUUUGAGAGGUAAUGCUUUAUUUCCUGGAAAGCCUGUUGGUGCUGUUCUUCCCAUUUGAAUGUCUAUUCCUGCUUCAGUCUUAACAGGGAAGAAAAGGGUUGGAUUUUUCCUGCAGAAUUGGAUAUGAAUCUCCUUAGAAAAUUGAUUUUUCCUAAGAGACUUUGAAGUUCUUUCUUGUUCCGAGGUGGUAGAGCUUCUAUGAUGGAUUUUGCUUUAUUUCUGUCAACCUCUAUACCUCUCUGGUGGACCAAGAAUCCUAAGAAAUUUCCUGCUUGGACUCCAAAAACGCAUUUUUUGGGGUUCAUUUUUAGUUUGUGCUGCCUCAUUCUUAGGAACGCCUUUCUUAAGCCUGCCACGUGAUUUCCUUCUUCAGGGGAUUUAAUCACCACGUCAUCUAUGUAUACUUCCAAGGAAUGUCCUAUCAUAUCAUGAAAAAUAGAAUUCAUUGCCCUUUGGUAGGUGGCUCCCGCAUUUCUCAAACCGAAAGGCAUUACAGUAUAUUGGAAAGCACCUAUAUGUCCUGGACACAUAAAGGCUGUCUUGUGGAUGUCCUGUUCUGCCAUCAUAAUCUGGUUAUAACCUGCAUUGCCGUCCAUGAAAGAUAGCAUCUGGUUGUGAGCGGCUCCAUCCACUAGCAUGUCUGCCAUUGGCAUAGGGUAUUCGUCCUUGGGAGAUGCUUCAUUCAGAUUUCUGUAAUCCACACAAAUUCUAACUGCCCCUGUUUUUCUUUUGAGAACAGGUACAAUAUUUUUUAACCAAUCUGCAUAGAUGGCUGGCCUGAUGAAUCCUGCUUUGAGCAGCCUUUCUAUCUCUUCUUUGACCUUCAGUUCUGUGUCCAUAGACAUUCUUCUUCUGGCCUGUUUAACUGGAAGGUAGCCAUCUUUGAUUGGCAGUUUGUGCUCUACUAACUGCCUGUCCAGCCCUGGCAUCUCGUGGUAAUGCCAAGCAAAACAGUCUCUGAACUCCUGCAAAAGUGUCAUGAGUUCAGACUUGAGUGGUUCCUUCAAAAGUGUGCUGAUGAAAGUAGGCCUUGGAUCUUCUUCUGUCCCUAAGUUUACUUCUUGCAGAGGGUCCUCCACUUCUGGCGGGGAGUCGUCUAGUGCUGCUGGUGCAAAAUCUAAUACUUCUUCCUGUAAAAUUUCCUCCUCUUGUUCUUUUGUGCUUUCAUGGGUGAAUUCUGCCAUAUUGAUGGCUGGAUUCUGCAUGAAAAGCCCCCUUGCUCCCCAGUAUAUCAACAAUCUUUUUGUGAUGGAUCGGAUUGUUGCAGCUCGAUCCUUGUCUAGUUGAUUGGGACUAAACAUCAAAAUUCUGGAAGUUCAGCGCAGAAAGGUCUAUUCCAAUCCUCUAGAGAACUGGCUAAACCUUCUUCAAUGAGUCUUUGGGCCGUAACACCAUGUGGGCGGCCGUUCUGAUUGACUCCAAGAAAAGUGAAAGGACCGAGGUCAUCAUGAUAAUACCUUGCUUCAAAGCACAUGGCAGAGGGUAGGAAUGGCCGUGGAUCAGCCUCUAUAAUCUCCAUGCAGCCUUCUUCAUUCCAUAGUGCUAACUGUUGGUGGAGGGUGGAAGGAACACAAAGGCUCUGGUGGAUCCAAUCCCUACCAAGCAGUGCAUUGUAGGUGGUGGAAGUAGUGUCUAUAACAAAGAAUGCUAUUUUCAAUUCUUUACUUCCGACUAUGACAUCCACGUCCAAGAUGCCAUAUAUUUUGGUGAUGCCCCCAGCGAAGUUGGUGACGGUCAAUCGUGUUGGAAUCAGAUCUUUCUCUGUCCUGCCCAAUUUGGUCAGCAUUCUGUGGGGUAAUAGAUUAAUGGCUGCUCCUCCAUCUACCAUGAUCUUGGAAAUAGGAAUACCCCCAAGAUUUGCCGUUAUAAACAAAGGUCUGAGGUGAUUUGCCAUUUCUCUGGUUGGCUUGGCGAACCAAGGUUGCUCUGUAGCUGGUUUAUCGGCUGUUCUGCCUGUCCUGGAGAUGUCUGCUUGUGGUUCUGGUGGCUCCUCUGCUUCUGCCAAUCUACAUUCAAAGCUUUCCUGAGAGAAAACAUCUCCUUCCAGAGUGCUUUCUUGUCCUUCGGUAGCCCUGAAUUUACCUGGUAGGAUAAAUACCAUGUUAAUUCCCAGAUCACCCUGUAGGAGGUCUUCUAAUUCUGCGCCAAAAGCUUCUGUCUCUGGGUCCAAUUCUUCACCAAAUUCCAUUAAUUCUUCCCCGUAUUCUUCCGUCCAGUCAUCCUGUUCUGCUACCUCGGGGGGCUCUUUCUGGUCAUCUGCAGAAGGUUCAUAGUCCAAUUGCUCUUCUUCCUCUAUGUAGUCGUCUUCUCCUUGUAACGGGGUAGACCCGGAUAUCUCUGGUAUCUGCUCGGUGUCAGGACAGCUACUGGACGAUGAGGCUAUAUGGGCAAGAGAUCUGGCUGGUGGUUCUGUUUUCAGCAAUUCCCCUGACUGGCAAGCUUUCUGUUCUGUCUGGGGAAGUGAUUCAGGAUUUUUUCCUUUCCUGGCAGAACUGGGUUGUGAACGUACCUGCGUAUUAUCCUGGCUCUUAAGAUAUGUGCAGUAUUGCCUCUGGAUUCUUCUUUUCUGAGUUCUGGUCAGCUCCAGAGUUGGCCUACCAUUUCUUCCUACGGAAUACCAUCUCCCUUCUAUGAUCGUCGCCAAGGGUUUUUCGUUUCCGGGUGUCUUGACUGGUAUUUCCUUUCUGGGUUGCUCCAUCCUCCUCUCGCUGUACUGUGUAGGCUUAAGACAACUCUUCUGCCUUGUUUUGUCUUGGGAUGAGGUUCCAAUCCUGUCAAAGACACUAGGUGUGGGCUGAUUUUGUCUGUCUAGAACCACCUCUAGCUCUGUUUCACAUUUGCACCUACUGCAAAGCACUAUCCCAGCUGAGAUGGUCGCUCUUGGUAUUUGACUGGUCUCUCUUAUGAUUCUUCUGCCUCUGCUGCAGCCAGCAUCUGUGAUUGGCUGGGUUUUCCUCUGUUCUAGCCAAUUUAAGUUGACCAUAUUGACUUGAGGUUGAGGAAAAGGAUCCGUUAUGACCGAUGGUGGUUUUUCUGCCAGUUUAAGCCUUCCUGCCGUUAUCCCUUCUUGUAUCACGUCCCUGAAAACAACACAACUAUUGGUAGAAUGAUUCCAAGAGUUGUGCCACCUGCAGUACUGUCUGCCCUUGAGUUCUUCCGGUUUUGGUAUUCUGUGAGGCGUCUCUAUUGCCUUCUGCAGUAGCAUUUCGUCGAACAGGGCAUCGACCUUGGUUAAGUCAAAAGAGUAAACCUUGUUUUGUGUUGGUUUAUUUGGAACGAAUCCUCCUAUGAAUGGUGGCGGCUUUUGGUCUUUAGGUGGCUUUGUGAGGGCUUUGCAACUAAUGGGAUGUUUUAGUUUUUCCAUUUCUGCCACUGAAACCUCUUUCUCCUCUGAUUCUUCCGCAUCUUCUUGUGAUUCCACCUCGAUCAGGUGGACUGAAGAAGAAGGGGUUUUAUAGUAUGUACCUUUGGAGGAGUUCCUCCUUUGCUGUUCUUCCCUGAGUAACUUCUCAUAUUUGGAUGCCUUAUCGGCCAGUUCUGUCAGAUCUCCGAACAAUAUCCCGUCGAACCGUUUCCUGAGAGAGAUUUUAAGGGCGGCCUGGGCCAUCUGGAUGAAGUGUCUUUCUUCCAUAGGGAUUCGGCACUUCAUCUUGAGCUUUCUGAACCUGGUUAUGAAAUCUUGUGCCGGUUCAUCUUCACUCUGCUUGAGGGCGGCUAGAUCACUGAUGGUGACUUCCGGCUGAAUCCUGUAGUAGUAGUCGUGAAAGACAUUUUCCAUCUGUUCCCAGGUUUGAACAGAGUUAGCUGGCAGGCUGGUGUACCAGGUAAAAGCUUGUCCAGAGAGAGAGUUGCCGAAAAGCCUUAAUUUCAGCAGAGGGUUAUUCUCUAUAGCUAUGCAUUGGACGGAGAACCUGCCUAUAUGUUCAACUGAAGAAGCAUGGGGGUCUUCCCCAUUGAACAAAGUGAAAUUUGGCACUUUGAAACCUGGAGACAGCGGUAUUUGAUCAAUAUAGGCUGGGUAUGGCUUCCUGUAAGUAGGCCUUUCUCCUCUCCUAGCCUCGGGUUCCAUGAUCUCUCUGAUCAUUCUUUGUAAUGCCCCUAUGUUAUUCAAAGCAUUGACUGGGGGAAGAUUUUGUCCCUGUUCUGGCUGAACGUAAUCAAAUCUGGGCUCUGCUCUGUGUGGUCUGGGUGGAAGUCCUUCCCUGUGUUCUUCCUGCUCUUCGACUUCUGGAUGAUUCCUCCAAUUUGCCCCUGGUCUAUUCCUGUCAUGAUUAGCAAAGAGGUUGUUCCCUCCUCGGCCUCUCCUCCCUCUUGCAAGUGGAGGGAAUGGAUUAGGGUCCAUCCUUCUGGGUCUAUAUGGCAAUACUGCCGGUGGCUCAGGCAGAAGUGCCAAAGGUUGAUCAAGCGGGGCCACAUGAUAUGGAAUGGGUUGAGGUUCUGGCUGGUUCUGAGCCAGUGCCGGGUUGUCUGGUUGGGCUGGGGCCUCAUACUCUUGAUUAGGAAAGGCUCUUUCCCUCGGACCAGCCUGAAUUUCUCUGUGGUCUGGCACUCCAGCCAUCUGUGCAACUAGGGGAUUUUCCUGGUAUGGCCAUAUUAGUCCUGGCGGAGGGCCAUAAGGGAGAUCCAACUGCUGGAUUACAGGAUCUGGGUUUGGGUUUCUGGCCAUGGCGGAUUCUCGGUCCUUCCGGAAUUGUCUGUUCACCUACCAUUGCAUCAUGGCUGUCAUGUUAUUGAGAGUAUCCUGGCUCCUUUGUACUGUGAUCUCUUGUCGGAGUACUGACUCCUGCACUUGAUCCAUCCUUUUGGAGCCAAUCCUGGAACGUCUACUUCCUGUACUGCCGUGGGCAGAAUGCCUAGCAUCGCUUUCUUCUGACUCGAGGCCCUCCCUGAGGACCAUCUUGUUUUUCUCCAUAUCUGGUGUGGGUUCUGACUAGAUCUUCCGAUAUUUGUAAAUCUGUGAAUGAUUCCGUCAGAAUAUGUAUACUGAGAAGUCCCACCGGGCGUGCCAAAUUGUUCACCCGUGUUCGUGUUUAACUCCUGAUGUGGAAGGGCGAAGUUCCCCACUGGCUUGAAGACCACUUGCUGGUCGACAAGUCAGCUUUCUUUGGUGUGUGAGCGUGCCACUGCUAGCAAUGUAGAUUCUAGCAGACUUAUUUUGAAAGUGGAUAACUUGCGCCUCAAGUUACUGGCUUCUAAAACAAAACGAUUGUGAAUUUGGGUGAGGAAUAUCUCCCAAGUAAGUUCUUUUCUUGCCUCAGACUGGUGAGGACUUUCAUAAUUUAUCUCAGUAUCAAAUGGUUGUUCUGGCCAGAAUGGAUAAUAAUAAAGUACUAUUUUCAGGCAGAACUCCCUUUUACAAAAUUAAGCAGGGAGAAACCGACUCUAGAAAGGCAAAAAGAUGGCUGAAACUCCAUUUCUGCCUGGGUGGAAACUUCUAAUCCGGGCUGGACUGGGCAUGUCUACGCUGGACUGUACUGUCGACAACUUUAGCUGCUUGGCUUCAGCUGUAAAUCGAUACCAAAGUUCAAUUUUGGCAGAGCUUCAAUCUACUUCAAGCCUUGGGAGACUUUUGAGCGGGCAGAACUGCGACUUCUUCAGUUUGAAGGGACAGAAGUGGCUAUUCGUAUUCAGCAAGCUGGAACUAUGCUAUAAAAUUUGUUGAGGUUUUCAUAUUUGUGAAAACUCAAACUGUGUUUGUCUUGGCUGUUGCUAAACCAAACUUGUAACGAGAGGGAUCUCACUUUCAGAGGACUUAUUUUCUAAGUCUGAACUUCGGAAUUCUGAUCUAAAGCUGGUUUUCUUUGGAUCCAAGUGAGCUUUUUCUUGUUUGUUUUUUUUGAUUGAUUGAUGCAUUGAGUGUCCUUUGUUCCUUUGCCUACUUUCGUUUUUAUAAGAGACCCUCCUGGGGAGGUGAUUUUUAAUCCUAAAUAAUGGGCGGCAAAAAGAUCUCUUAUAAUAUAAAGUAAGAAGGAUUUCUUAUCAAUCAAGACAGAUAGGUUCUGAGCAGUCACCUCCUAAAGCAGUCCCUUCCCUGGUUUCCUGGGUGGCAGUUUCUAAUUCAAACCACCGCCACCAUCUGUGUAGGCUUUUUAUGGCGGUUUGGCUUUUUCUUUUAUAUUUUCUGAAUGGUUCCCUAUUUCCCGUUCUAAUUUAGAAAGCGUGAUCCGUGAAUCCCUGGGGGGGUGGUGCAUCGAUUUGGAGCAAAAUCUUGAACAUAGAUGGGUUUUUUGAUCUUCAAUUGGCAGUGUUUCAGAGACGUCCCUUUCAUAUUUUUAAAUUUCAGUCGAUAUUGCUGACUUUUCUAAAGCUGAGGCAAUCACGUGGGUGUGUUUUUGAUCCCUUGGGUCUGAACCUAAUCAAUAAUUCAUGGGCUGAUCUUUUGAAUCCCAUCUUGUCAGUUUCCUCUUUGGGCCUUUCUUUGGGCUGAAGCUUUGUUUUCAACAUUCUUGGUGUGAAGCCCAAUCUGUCUGGAUCCUAUUUUGUUUUUCUCAAGUUUUCGGGCUGGGCAGGCAAUUUCAUCAUGGGCUUGUCUCUUGAUUUUGGGUGUGCCGAAUUUUGGGCCCAAACAACUAUAUUAUGCAUGAUAUUAUUAUUUGAUUAUUAUUGAUAUUGGGUGUUUAAGUGUUGUUAAUUAUCAUCAUAUUAUUUUAUUCAUAUUGACAUGAUCAUAUGUUAUCGGUGAUGGCUGGAAUUCUUGGGUUGAUAAAGAAAGUAAGAAAAAGGGGGUAAUGGGAAGGAUCUUUUGUGUAGUUGAGUCUAACUCUUGGCAGGUACCAGGUCUCAAGGAUCCCGCAGUGCACAUGGUUUUCAUUGGGUGAUUCGGGACUAGCGACAGAGAGUUAGACAAGAUGACUAACGAAAUGGGAAUUAUGAGAAGAUUGAAAUGGGUGUUUGUUCAUAUAAAUGGGCAUUUGGGGCCAAGUGGUAUAAGCAUGGUAUGGGACGUGCAGGUCUGCUUGUGCAGUCAUAUGAAUUAACAGGAGUAGAUGAAGAGCAUUCAUUCAUGCAUUAUUAUUAAUAAUGUGAUAUUUAGCUGUGUGAUUACAUGUCACUUAAUUUAGUUAAAUCAAUCUACUGUGGUGAGGUCUCAUGUCCCUACUGAGUGGUGGUUUCUCAUCCCUCACCCUGUUUAAUUUUUCAGAUGAAUUAGUGGGCAUGACAAGGACUAAAUCAGUUGAGGCUGAACUAGAUGAGAGUGAUAGAGCUUUAUUUUUUUUAAUUGUAAAGUUUUAAGAUUUUGGGAGCUAUUUUUAUAAGAAAAGUUUAUUUUAUGUUUCGGCUUCUUUUUAUUCUAUUUUACCUUUUAUUUUCUCAUGCACUGGGCACGGGGUUUCCACUGACCCACGGGUCCGGGGCGUGACAAGGGUUAAUCGUUUUAUUCGUUCUUGGACUUAGACCCGGUUUGCAUUUGAGUACCUCAAUUUCCAAAAUCGUUCUCAUAUUCCUUUAACUUCACUUUUGUUAGGACAAAUGGUCCAGCCAUUAAUUUUGUUAACUUUUUCUGUUAAAUGCAGGGGCAAAAUGGUAUUUUUAUAUUAAAACCAAAAGAAUAAAUAAAUAAUCACAUCUUUAAAAUAACAAUAAAAUCAAAUCAAAUAAAAAACCAACCAAAAAAAAAUCGAGUUUGGGAAGAGUAGAAAUCGGGAUAGAGGGGGAGAGAGAGAGUUUAAUUUUAAUUUUUUAUUCAUAUUUUAAUCAAUUUAAUACAAAAUGAGGAGAACUACCCCCCCUCUUCUUCUCUUUUUAUUCACUACAUGCCAUGUAAAGAGAAGAACUAAAUGAGGUUAGGUUAUUAAAAUUGGGUGAGCUAGGAUUCUAUUUUUUUUGGCUGGAAAAAAGAAGCCACCUGGGUUGCCAAACUAAAGGUACAUCCGUGGGUAAGCUAGGAUUUUAUUUUUUUUUGGCUUGAAAAAAGAAGCCACCUGGGCUAUAGCCCAGGUUUGCCAAACUAAAGGAAGGUCUGUGGGUGGGCUAGGAUUUUAUUUUUUUGGCUGGAAAAAAGAAGUAGGUUUGCCAAACUAAAGAUCCGUCUCUGUUUCCACUUCAACCCAUUUACAAUCAAACUAUUUUAUGACUAAAACACUUCACAUUAAUGAUAAUUUUAUUAAACUAAAACACAGUUUUAUGAGUCUACUUAUGGAGAAAAACUUAGUUGCAAUGAGAUAACACUAUUUUGCUAUCCUUAUUUCAUAAAAGUCUUUCUCCUACUUAUGACUAUGGUUGCAGCCUGCAAUAUUCUUAAAAUAAUAAAAAAAUAAAAAAAAUAAAAAAAGUAGCUAUUCUGAAGGACAUUACCUCACUUUUGCUGUAUAAAUACUCUGCAUUUGCAAGCACUGCAAUGCACACACAAAAGCUAAGAUGGAUUCCAGAGAAGUAGCAACUAAGCCACACGCUGUUUGCAUUCCAUUCCCUUAUCAAAGCCAUAUAAAGGCAAUGCUUAAAUUUGCAAAGCUCCUCCACCACAGAGGUUUUCAUAUAACCUUUGUUAACACAGAGUUCAAUCACAAGCGCUUUCUUAAAUCUCAAGGACCCAAUUCCCUUGUUGGCUUGCCUGAUUUUCAAUUCGAUGCCUUCCCGGAUAGCCUUCCGGAUUCAGAUGAAGAUGCCACACCAGAUGCCACCUUGCUUUGUGAAUCCAUCAGAAAAAAAAAAUUCUUGGCUCCCUUUCAUGCCCUCCUUGCAAAACUCAACAAUGAUGCCAUAUCAACAUCCCACAAUCCUCCUGUGACUUGCAUAGUUUCAGAUGGUUUCAUGUCCGCGUUCACAAUCAC
rnacentral:lncRNA from 1 species